UUCCUAGUUCGCUUAAACUAAUGCUCUGAUACCAACUGUGACAUCCCCAAAAUCACGGCCAUAAAAGACCGGUUUAAUUUAUGCUUUUAAAAUGAUUUCAGAGUAAUCCUUUGAUUAAAAGAGUUGAGGAAUUUGUUCCCAAAACAAAAUAUGAUAAAAAUAAGAUUUACCAAAGCAUUUCUUAAAGAAAUGUAUUUUUCAUUAUAUUACAAUACUCGGGAUGUCAUGUUCCGAUAAACAGACCAAAAGCAUAAACAUCUCAAUACAGACCUUACAACAGUUAUUUACAACAACAGGUCUAUAAUCCAAAAACAACUUGACAAGUCAUCCAGCUUAUGCUCUGGCGCCACUACCUGUAAUACAAAGAAAACUGAGUGGGCCAGGCUUGGGAGCCUGGUGAGCAUAUAGGUUUUUCAACCCACAAUAAGUAAUUAAAUUUAUUUUCAUCAACCAACAAUAACCCAAUUACCCAUUCCCGUUAUUCUCACUUUACGUCCCUAAAACAUCUAACACAAGGGACCUAGUCUUAGAAUAUUUCAUCGGGGAGACAACACAUGCAUUCGGGGGUUUCCCAACAAUAUAUUUCAAAUAAGGCAACCAUGAGGAGGAUGGAGUACAACGAAUGAACACCCAAGUUCAUUAACACCUACAGGUGGUGAGCCUGCUAGCGUUCCAUAGGACUGUCUAGAAAAGUCUGUGGUUGUCAUCUAAACUCCGCUAGAUGACUGAAUCAAAAACAACAUCGACGCCUCUCAUCUGUUUAUCACACAUCAACUAUCUACCCAUGUUCUACCCAACAUAUUAGUAGAUAAAAAUAUAUAUUUUGAUACAUAGUUAAAACCUGUAUAGCAUUCUCAUUCAAUACAUAUUCCAAACAACAGAUGAGACACAUACACAUAACACGUAUUUCAUAGAGAAUAAAUCAUAUCUAUGAGAUAAAAGAAAGUGAAUAUACAUUCACACAUAUAACAACAAAAUAUACACAUAACACAUAUUUCGUAUAAAAUACUUCAUAAUUAUGCGUUAGAAGAAAAGUGACUACACAUUCACUUGAUCAGAAGAUGACCGAACAACGUUACGGCUCGUAGAAGUAGUAUUCUUCGGUAGAUCUGGAAGAUCUUCACAAAAAUUGGCUUCUCGCGAGCAGAGCCUCGGCUCGGAAAUUUUACUUCUCGGGAUCUUUGGGGCUUCGGGACUUGCUUCGAGUCUCGGGAUUGAUACCGAGGCUUCGGGAUAUUUCUUGCACGAAAAACGAUGCAAAAACGAGAGAGAAGGAAAGAAAAUAGCAACUGAAACUCGGCGGCCUCGACUUCCUUUUAUAGGGGGUUGGAUCCUCGAUUUACGUUGGGCGUAAAUCCAGGUACGUUGGGCGUAACGCGGAUAAGCCCGGUGACUUCCCCCCUUUGGAUUAUAUCUGAAUUUAUAUUUAAAUUUAAUAUUUUAAUUAAUUAACAAACUUCAAAAAUUCAUAUCUUCCUCAUACGAAUUCUGUUUUCGACGUUCUUUAUAUCCAUGCGUAGUUGAGACUACGCUCUACAACUUUCGUUUAGACUCCAUCGGCUAAUUUUUAAUUUAUUUUUAUUAUUUAUUUUCAAUAGGUCGGGACAGGAAAACUCCGUUAUAAAUUCAUAACUUCUUCAUCCGACGUCCAUUUUCGUCUGUAUUUUCACCAAUGAACUACUAUCAACGAGAUCUUUGAUUCUCGUUUAGAUUCUUUCGACCAAAAAUCACUCGAUCUCGAAUUCGAGAUUCGGGCUGCAUACUGCUAAGCUGAAACUCAGAAAAAUCAUAACUUCCUUAUACGAAGUCAGAUUUAGGCAUUCUUUUGAUGCACGCUCUCGGUUUAACGAACUCUACGACUUUCGUCUAGAUCACUAAGGCUAAAUAUCGCUUCAUCAUAAAUUCAGUUUUUACGUCAGUCAACGUCGUGCCGGUUUUGUUGCGAAACUUCGAUAGAUCAUAACUUCUUCGUUAUAAUUCGGAUUUCGGCAUUUUUUAUAUAUUCGGAAACCUCGUUUCAACUACUACAACAUUAUCCAUAUAUAUCGGCUUUAUCUAACAUUUCAUUUUGAUGCUUAUUUUUAUUCUUAAUUCAAUUAAGAUACACAAUUAAGCACAAAACACAAAAUACUCAAAUAAUACACUUCUAUUAUUUCAAAAUGAAUUACAAAGGUUAACCUAGACUAUUAUAUCAACAUUAAUGACAAGUCCGGAAACACAGAUGUUACACCCUCCCUACCGAUCCAUUAACAAGAAAAUUGAGUAGCUUGUGAAGGGUCAAAUGUAUUUUGCUUUUAUGGUCUCCCAUACCUAGAGGAUACAUACAUAUAAGAAUUCCCUUUGGGUCAAAUGGAUCCACUCUUAUAGACUCUUAUCGUAACUUUUAGGAUUUACUGGUUGGGGUUGGAGUAAUAUUCUUGGUAUUAGGGAUAAGAUUAGAGAAUUCAUUGUUUCUCAUAUCAGUGAUUACAAUAUCUCUCUCUAACUCACUCUGACGUUUUUUCUAAUCUGUUGAUAAACUCCAACCGAUAAAUAAGGUUAGGGUUUCCUUCCCUUCUCUAUUUAGGUUAGUUUCACUUACUAUCCAUUUGGAGGAAUGUUAGGGGUGUCAAACCCAACAAAUAAUAGGGGUACAAUAGACUCCAAAUAUACUGCUUUAAUGCACUAAAAGGUAGUACAAGGCAAGCAGGGUCAAACCACAGAGACAUGGGACAAAAGUCUAUACCUUUUUGCACAAGGUACUUUGGUCACAAAGGGGGGUUUUGUUUGCAAAAGUCAAAUAAAUAAAAUAACAAUCAACUUUGAAACAUGCAGAAAAUGAAAUAGAUUUGUAAACAAGUUGUAAAAGUGCUUCCAGUUCUAGUUCUCAAUGUUGUCAUUUAACCUGAUUAUGACUUGAUGUAAUUUGUGAUUGCUAUUCUAAGUUGGUACUGAAAGAUAUUAACACGCUCUAAUACCUCUCGCUUGCUAAAUUAUCAAACCAAAACACGCUCUUUGAUUAGACCUAGCUUUACUAAUUCAACCUAAACACGCUCUUAGAUUGUAUUGAAAAACUGCAUUAAGUUUUGUACAAGCUUCCCAACAAUGUUCAUUUCUUCUCAUACGCUAGGAAGUGUGAAAACAUGUGAUAUAAGUUUUAUAAUAAGAAAACUUAUUGCUUGUUACCAAUUAUUAACUUAAUAAAACGAUUAGGUGCCCUAAAAGUUAAUUAACUGCACAAAAAUUCAAUUCAUGAAAGUGGCCAAUCAAACACAAAUCAAAUUCAAGGAUUCUGGUUUCAACAAAAACAUAAUCACUAGAAUAGAAUCACAAAUCAAACAUCAAAUCAUAUGCUUCAAGUCAAGCAAUCAACAUGUUUUGAACAAGAACUAGAAACUAGGGUUUCUUAGCCACACAUGGCUAAGAACAAAUCAAACAAGAAUAAAGAUGGAAUUAGAAUGUUUAAUGCUUACUAAAAAUGAAAUCAAAAGUGUUUGCAAUGAUUAGGUCUUCUCAAAAGCUCCAAGAAUUCUACUAGAAUCGCCCUAGAUCGCCAGAAACUGCUCUAAAAACCGUUCUCCCUUUCAAAAUGGUGUAUCCUCCUGUUUUAAUUAAUGUUCACGUGCAUGCCAUGAGGCCAUGCGUUUUUGGCAUGACUAUGCAUUUUGCCCAUGUGUUUUUGGCAUGGCCAUUUGUAUUGACCAUGUGUUUUUGGCAUGACCCAUUAGGGAUGAGCAUAUGACCCGUUAGACCGGACCGGACCGGAAAAAAACCGGGACCGGACCCGGACCGGACCGGAUAAUCAGAUUAGUGGGUCGGUUUUCGGGUUUUAAUUUUACCACUAUUCGGGCUUCGGGUUUGGACCGGACCGUACCUGGAAUACGAGAUUUAACCCGGACCGGACCGGAAAACAUUUUCACCUUAAUUCAUUUUGUACAUAUUUUAGAAUAUAGAAAUAAUAAUAUUGACUUAUUAGUUAAUGCUAUAAAGCUUUUAUUGAAUUAUAAAUUAUUGCUACAAAAAAGAAUGUAUCUAAUGUGAUUGCGUAUUAAAAUUAAGUACCACAUGUCUCACCAAAUUGAAUAUUUCGUAAUGUAUCUAUCGUAAUAAUAUUUAUUAGGCUUUUUUUUCUAAAAAACAUGAACAUUUAUUUACUAUUAGUGUUUUUAGAAAUUGUGAGGCUCGUCCAUACGAGCGACAACUAAAAAAAACCUUUGUGUGGCUCUUCCAUAGUUCACGGCAGUGACAAUUAUUUUUUGGGUUCGGCCCUCCAGCUCUCCAUCGCAUUCCGCCGUUACAAAAAAAAAAACGGUCCAAUUCGGUCUAAAACCCGAAACCCGGUUUAAUACCCGGAACCGGACCGGACCGAACUCGGACCCGAUACAUACAAAAACGGUCCUGUUUUCGGGUAAGGUAAUUCACGAUUUUCGGUCUUCGGGCCGGUCUGGUCCGGGUCUUGCCCGUUGCUCAACCCUAUGACACAUGCUUCUUGCUAAAAUUCCAAAACGUCUUCAUUGUUGACUUCAUCUUCAAUCUAACUUCACCAUGAGUCAUGUUGCUCAAAUAUGAGAUGAUAAAGGACAAACACGACCCGUGUCAGUGUGACAAGAACCGCAUUUCAAACGUAGUCCUUUGCUAUGAUGAUAAUGCAACAAUGACUCGGGUUAUGUCUUCAUGCUUUCCUCCAUGGAAUGACCGGUUCAUCUUUUCUGCAUGCUCCAAAGCUCCAAGAAUCCAAGCUCCAUGCAUCCAUGCAUCCAAGCUCCACGUUCCGUGCUCCAUAAUGCCUGAAAAAUAAAUCAAUAAUAGUGAAGUACCACUCAUUCUUAAUGAAAUAUGCAAUUGCCCUAAUAAUCAACUAAAUGCAAGAAUUGUGAAGUAGAAUGCUAUAAAAAGACGGAAAUAAACAUGCAAAAUAGGUGCAUAAAAUGCACCUAUCAAACCUCCCCAAGCUUAGACCUUUCUUGUCAUCAAGAAAGAACAAAAUUGAAAAUCUACCUAGAGAAGACGAUAGGUGACUAAAAAGAAACUAAGAUGAAAAGAGUGGAAGUAACGAAAAGGACUAAAUGGAAUUAAGAGUGCAUGCAUGCAAUAAAAGAAGAACUAAAGAAAAUAACAUAUGUACAAAAAGAUUUUAUUUUCAAACAUUAAUGUAAUAAACAAAACAAAACAAAACGAACAUAUUCAAUCCAAUUAACCUCGUUAUGUCAUACAGUCGAAGGUGUACCUGUCGGGUCUUGAGAUAACUUGACAUUAACCCCACAAAGAUAUAUAACAUGUAAAACAAGGUUUUUAGCCAUUCCCUAACGCAACUCAACAAAAUCAAAUGUUACAACACUUGUUCACUUUUACAGGUAUUGGGUUAGCACAUGGAACAAAUUAUGGUCUUACUCUUGUGAAAACAUGUGAUGCAAAAUAUGCUCAAUCAUUUUCAUUUUACAAAGCAUGACAAUGACCGACUCCAGCUAUUUGUCGACUAACACCAAUCUUUUUCUAAAAAAUAUUUUCUAAAAAUUCCCUAAUAUUUACCCAGAUUGGUUACAUGUUUCAAACCACUUACACCAGUCAAAGUAGUUUACAGUCAGUCCCAAUGUUUACAGCCAAACAUUUUUCCCAAACACAUUAUUCAAUUAAACUAUAAACAUAAAUAUAUACAAACUAUCUAAUUAUAUUUUUCUACAAAUAAAGCUCAUGGCUUUCUUUGAAAUCCAUGUAACGGGCUUCCAACCAACACAUCCAAAUCAGAUGACCUUAGUGCGCUAGAUUUAAAGAGAUCCCUCGGGUUUACUUGCUCGAACCUCAAAGGCCACAAAUUAGCUUUAUUUAAAUAUCUAAACAUAUUUAUACUAUUUUUUUGUUUUUAUUAAGUUCAUGACUUUCUAUGGAACUCGUGUAGCGAACUUUCAACCCAAUCUGUCCCAAACAAUACAACUUUAGGAAAUUAGGUGUAGAACACCCCUUGGGGUUUAUUGAUUCAAGUCCCAAAGGUCACAGAUUAACUUAAUAUAUUUUUUUUAAUUUUUUAAUUUUUAAUUUUUGUUAUUUUUAUCUUGUUUUCCAGGUUUAUUUCCAUAUAUUUUCGUCUUGGCUCUUUUAAGGGGACUAAUGUAAACGCGCAAAGACCCGUAAGUAUAGUUGGAAACAAUGUCCCCAAGCAAGGUAUUUAGACGGGAAUAGGUAGAAAAGACUUUUUAGAACGCCGGAGAAUUCGAGUCACUGAAAUUUUAUAUUCAUUUUAUGGCUCUUUUGAAUUUGAAGUUUGGAUAUGAGUGAGCACUUACUACUCAUAAGAUCGGUCGUGUGUUCCAAGGGCUAAACUAUAUCAGUCUUUAAGCUUCGGUGUUGAUAACCUUAUCAUUUUUUGUUUUGCACGAGUAGCUUCGAGAGACGUGUUCGUGUGAGAUUAGGUUGCUUCAAGAUUUUUAAUAAAAAACGAACAAGUUCUAAUCUCAAGCCACGACUAAUUUACCACUUCUACUUAUUCAAGAAGAUUAGGUUUCUUUAGAUUGAAUGUUUUUUUUUCUUUUUUAAUAUAAUGCGAAAUGAUAAAAAUGCUAAAAACAGAAAAUCUUUUUUUUUUUUUUGGUAUGCUUUGAAAUGAAUGCAUGGAAAAAAUGAAAAUAUGAAAAGUAAAAUCUUUUUGUAUUUUUUUGAUGAAAUGCAUGUGGAAACUAGAACCUAAUGUACAAAGACCCCUCCCCAAGCUUAAGAUUUAGCAUCGUCCUCGAUGCUCGGAGAGGGUAGGGCAACCUACUAACCGCAGAUGUAUAACUAUAUAGAGCAUAUGAACGAAUUAUCAACAAUUAUAAUCAAACAAUCUUAGGAUUAAUGCAUAAGACUUGAGAUAUGGAAGGAAUGUACCAUUCAAAUGCUUGAGUUUGUGAUGUGUGCUUGACUUUUUUCACUUCAUCUUCAACCUCAAAAAAAGUUGAGCUCUUCAAUGGUGGAAUGCACAAAUGGAGAUAAAAGCUUCCCUUCUUAUUUGUAAUCCUUUUCUCAAUCUUGCUCUUGAAACCCUGCAAAAAAAAUUUGAAACCUAAUACAAGAAUCAAGUCAAAUUUUACAAAGAAAAAAAACUAGCGUUUUAUGCAAGAGUUGAUUUUGUACACUUUCAUGGAGGAAAUUCUACAUAGAUGAAGAAGAAGAUGGAGUUAGGAACUUAAAACAACAAAUGACACAAAAUACAUGGUUUAUAAGUAUUUAGGAGGAGAGAGCGCAGAGGAAGAAUGACACAAAACACAUGGUUUAAAAGUUAGGUCGUGCUUUUUUAUGGUAGCCCAUGCUUUUUAGCAUGGGUCAUGAGUUUUUAGGAGGAAGAAUAAUACAAAACACAUGGUCCAAGCCAUACCGUGCUUUUUUAUGAUAGCCCAUGCCUUCUUCGGAGGUAGCAUGUGAGUUUUUUUUCGAAAAUGUGCAUGGUCUAGGGACAGGCAGUGUGUUUUCAAUCAGCCCACGGAUUUUUAGCAUGGUCCCUGAGUUUUGGCCAUGCGUUUUUAGCAUGGCCCCUGAGUUUUGGAGUUUGCCCAUGCCAAAAAAAAAUUUCUUUUAAAACCUCGAUAGUCUUGCAUGGUCUAAAAUUAGACCAUGCCUUUUGAAUCUUGCCCAUGCCAAUUUCACAUGGCCAUGUUUUUCUUUUCUGUUAACCAAAAAAUCACGUUUUUUAAACUUUAACCUCACAAAAACAUUUUAUUUAUUUAUUUAUUAUUUUUUUUACACAUGCAUCCCUCUCAAUCUUGUUGAUAUUUUUUUUUUUUUUUUUUUUUGCAUGGAACUCUAAAAAGACUUAAAAACAUUGCAACACAAUAAAGUAAAUAAAAGAAGAAUAGGAAGAAAAUACUGCCCGAGUUGCCUCUCGGUUAGCUGCCAUUGUUUCAAUUCUUUGGCUCGACUUGGCCCUUGGAAUAUGUUAUUCUUUGAGUGUUGGGGCUUUACAACUCAAUGAACUUUUUGCCGCCUCCUUCAAUGGAACACGUAUCUUGUACUUGACUUUCUUUUUGCGUGGGAACCAUGUUGGACUUAGACCCUUAAUGACAACAAUCGUCCAGCCGACCCCUUUCUUGUACUUGUCCAGUAAGGUGGUCAAAUUUUCCUUCUUUGAUAAGGUGGUCGAUUUGAUGAUCGGUUGGGAGUCUCCCUUCUCGGGGUACAUAUCCCUUGAAGGGUCCUACAAAUGUAUCGUUUUCGGCUCUUGUGGUUGGUCUACCAGCAAAGGGAGUUUCUCAUUGGUAGUGGGUGGCUCAGCCUCUUUUUUGUCAACCUCCAACUCCUCCUCUACAACUUCCAUGUCAGCAUUCUUAAUUUCUACUUCUUCCUCGACAACCUUUUCCACUUCUACUUCUUCCUCCUCUUCCUCAUCUUCAAAUUGCAAUGUUGGGUCAUCAAAAAUUUUCCCAUCGUUCUAGGUGAUGGUAGAAACCGUAUGCCUUGGGUCCUCUUCAGUCUGCGAUGGUAGUUUUCCUUGAGUUUCCAAUAUACUCACAGAUUGAGCAAGUUGUGCAAUUUGUUCCUCUAAGCUUUUGAGGCUAGCUUUGGUUUUCUGGAAGAUUUGGUUAGUAGUGGCAAUGCUUUUCACAAUCUCUUCCAAGGACAUGCUCGAACUUUCAGUUUGUUGAAGAGGUGGAGGAUAUUGUUGUUGGAACUCUAGAGUUGGUAGGUAUUGGUCAUCUCCGCAGUCUUGGUAUAGGUUUUGGCAUUGGUUGUUUCCCCAAGCUUGGUUGUUUUCCCACCUUUGAUAAUAUUGAGGUUGAUCAUAACUCCAUUGAUUUGGCCAGUAGUAGCUUCCCCUUUCCUGCAUUUCCUCCCAUCCCCCUUGUAAAGAUGGACACAUGUUGGUGUGAUGUCCAUUUUGAGUACAAAAAUCACAAGGAAUAGGUGUGGGCUGCACACUUCUGUCAUUUCCAAUCAUCAUAACUAACUGAGCUAGCUCAGAAAGUUGGUCUUCCAUGUAAGGAGUAUUCAUUUCCGAGCCACACUUUUUUUUGAUAGAGAUGUACCUGCUCACAAAAAUCUUGGCAUAAACAAUUAGUAACACCGUGUCCCCGACAACGGCGCCAAUUUGUUAGGGGUGUCAAACCCAACAAAUAAUAGGGGUACAAUAGACUCCAAAUAUACUGCUUUAAUGCACUAAAAGGUAGUACAAGGCAAGCAGGGUCGAACCACAGAGACACGGGACAAAAGUCUAUACCUCUUUGCACAAGGUACUUUGGUCAUAAAGGGGGGUUUUGUUUGCAAAAGUCAAAUAAAAAAAUAACAAUCAACUUUGAAACAUGCAGAAAAUGAAAUACAUUUGUAAACAAGUUGUAAAAGUGCUUCCAGUUCUAGUUCUCAAUGUUGUCAUUUAACCUGAUUAUGACUUGAUGUAAUUUGUGAUUGCUAUUCUAAGUUGGUACUGAAAGAUAUUAACACGCUCUAAUACCUCUCGCUUGCCAAUUAUCUAACCAAAACACGCUCUUUGAUUAGACCUAGCUUUACUAAUUCAACCUAAACACGCUCUUAGAUUGUAUUGAAAAACUGCAUUAAGUUUUAUACAAGCUUCCCAACAAUGUUCAUUUCUUCUCAUACGCUCGGAAGUGUGAAAACAUGUGAUAUAAGUUUUAUAAUAAGAAAACUUAUUGUUUGAUACCAAUUAUUAACUUAAUAGAACGAUUAGGUGCCCUAAAAGUUCAUUAACUGCACAAAAAUUCAAUUCAUGAAAGUGGCCAAUCAAACACAAAUCAAAUUCAAGGAUUCUAGUUUAAACAAAAACAUAAUCACUAGAAUAGAAUCACAAAUCAAACAUCAAAUCAUAUGCUUCAAGUCAAGCAAUCAACAUGUUUUGAACAAGAACUAGUAACUAGGGUUUCUUAGCCACACAUGGCUAAGAACAAAUCAAACAAGAAUAAAGAUGGAAUUUGAAUGUUUAAUGCUUACUAAAAAUGAAAUCAAAAGUGUUUGCAAUGAUUAAGUAUUCUCAAAAUCUCCAAGAAUUCUCCUAGAAUCUCCCUAGAUCGCCAAAAACUGCUCCAAAAACCGUUCUUUCUUUCAAAAUGGUGUAUCCUCCUGUUUUAAUUAAUGUUCACAUGCAUGCCAUGAGGCCAUGCGUUUUUGGCAUGGCCAUGCCUUUUGCCCAUGUGUUUUUGGCAUGGCCAUUUGUAUUGACCAUGUGUUUUUGGCAUGGCCCAUGCUCUUGCUAAAAUUCCAAAACGUCUUCACUAUUGACUCCAUCUUCAAUCUAGCUUCACCAUGAGUCAUGUUGCUCAAAUAUGAGAUAAUAAGGACAAACACGACCCGUGUCAAUGUGACAAGAACCACAUUUCAAACGUAGUCCUUUGCUAUGAUGAUAAUGCAACAAUGACUCGGGUUAUGUCUUCAUGCUUUCCUCCAUGGAAUGACCGGUUCAUCUUCUAUGCAUGCUCCAAAGCUCCAAGAAUCCAAGCUCCAUGCAUCCAUGCAUCCAAGCUCCACGUUCCAUGCUCUAUAAUGCCUACAAAAUAAAUCAAAAAUAGUGAAGUACCAGGCAUUCUUAAUGAAAUAUGUAAUUGCCCUAAUAACCAACUAAAUGCAAGAAUUAUGAAGUAGAAUGUUAUAAAAAGACAGAAAUAAACAUGCAAAAUAGGUGCAUAAAAUGCACAUAUCAAGGAACUUGAUAUUAGUUAGCAUUAUCUUGUUUGGUUCUCUCAGAGCAUCAUUUGUCAUGCAUUCCUCUUAUGGAUGGUCCUGAAAUACCAAUUCAAAUUGCAUGAUAAAGUCCACAUCGAGGAGCCUACUCAUAAUCUCAUCUAUAUACACUACAUCCUUUGACCCGAUUCUCUUAACCACCACUUUUUCAACUUCACUUACCCUUCUAAAAUCUAGCAAGAUAUGAAAACUAGAAUACCUUGACGUGAAUUAUGAGCAUUUGAUUUAGCAUGCGGAAUUAAAGAACACAAAGUACACAGUGAUUUGGGUGCUAAAAGAUGUAUUCGGCCAUAGGAAUGAGUACAAAAAGGGUACUAGACUAGAACUUCAUAAAUAUCUCACUCGCUAGUCACUAUGAACUACAUCUCUCAAGCACACCUCUACAAGUGAUAUGGAACCCACCUUAUAUAGNAUAUAUAUAUAUAUAUAUAUCAUGUCACAAGGCUACUCUACCACAUGAAAGUGGGUCUACAUGAGUCAAACCAUUACAAAUUCAUAAAUGGAUAAAUUUGCACCCCAACAUUCUCCCCCUCAAAGUUAGGAAUGGAUGACCCACUUCAAAUCUUCCAAAAACGAGCAACUUCACCAACCGAGCCUCAAGCAUGACACAUGUAGAAAUGAACUUCAAAUCUUCAAUUCAUCAAUGACUAGGGAUGAGCAUAUGACCCGUUGGAUCGGACCGGACCGGAAAAAAACCGGGACCGGACCGGAUAAUCAGAUUAGUGGGUCGCUUUUCGGGUUUUAUUUUUACCACUAUUCGGGCUUCGGGUUUGGACCGGGCCUUAUCUGGAAUACGAGAUUUAACCCGGACCGGACCAGAAAACAUUUUCACCUUAAUUCAUUUUGUACAUAUUUUAGAAUAUAUAAAUAAUAAUAUUGACUUAUUAGUUAAUGCUAUAAAGCUUUUAUUGAAUUCUAAAUUAUUGCUACAAAAAAGAAUGUAUCUAAUGUGAUUGCGUAUUAAAAUUAAGUACCACAUGUCUCACCAAAUUGAAUAUUCCGUAAUGUAUCUAUCGUAAUAUUAUUUAUUAGACUUUUUUUCUAAAAAAACAUGAACAUUUAUUUACUAUUAGUGUUUUUAGAAAUUAUGAGGCUCGUCCAUACGAGUGACAACUAAAAAAAACCUUUGUGUGGCUCUUCCAUAGUUCACGGCAGUGACAAUUAUUUUUUGGGUUCGGCCCUCCAGCUCUCCAUUGCAUUCCACCGUUACAAAAAAAACAGUCCAAUUCGGUCUAAAACCCGAAACCCGGUUUAAUACCCGGAACCGGACCGGACCGAACCCGGACCCGAUACAUACAAAAACGGUCCGGUUUUCGGGUAAGGCAACUCACGAUUUUCGGUCUUCGGGUUUUCGGUCUUCGGACCAGUCUGGUCCGAGUCUUGCCCGUUGCUCAUCCCUAUCAAUGACUUUACAUGCAAAAUUUUAUUUGGUUUAACCGGUAAACUAAACCGAAUUAACCAAAACCUAUUAAACUGAACCUUAUUUGGUUUGGUUAUGGUUAGUUUUAAGAUGUAAAAAAACUGAUAAAACCGAAUCGUAUAAACCGAAAACCAAAAAAACCGAUCGAAUAACACCCCUAGCAUAAAGUGUCAAUUCGCAUUAACUGCAGGGCCUGUUUCGAAAACGUUCCCUUUUCUCAGAAUUUCCAGCCCAAUGUCGAAGUUGGGUAAAUUUUAUCAUUACUUCGAAACUUCAGGGAUUCAAUGCGAAACUUCUUCAUUCUUCAUAAGUUUUGUUACCAUUUCAAAGUUGGGAAAAACCCUUAAUUCAAUUAAAGAAUAAGGACCUUUUCUAAAAAUGUUGUUAUCUUCCCAAAUUCAAGAUGCAUAUAACGAAGGUAUUGAAUCGACCUUCGUUAUCCAGCUUAUAACGACCUUCGCUUUUCAUCUAAAGGACCCUCGACAACAAACCAUGAAUAGUCCUCGACAACAAAGCGUGGCUAAGGAUUCUCGACAUCGGGUCUAGGCAACCCUUCGAAAUCGAACCGGCAACCAUCGACCAUCGCAUUUAAAACUUCAAUUUGUUAUGUCGAUGAUCCAAGCUUUCGUUCUUCAAGCAACGACCCAAUUUCGAAUUUGAUUCCAAACUAUUCGAUAUCAAUAAACAAACUUUCGGUUUCUAAAAUACAUUCAUGUGUCGAACAUAAAACCCGUCGUUCCCAACUCGUUAUCAUUCAAACCAGUCGACCCAAAAUUGAAGUCCUUCGGUUCCGCCUCGUUCCCGAGUUUGACAAAAGAAAAGAAGAGAAAAGAAAAGAAAGUCAUGAGAGAAAAGAAGAGAAAGGAAAGGAAAACAAAAUUUUCGUUUGUGUUCCCGAGGUGGAGAGAAGUGGAAGGAAAAUGAAUCAUUUUGUUCUUUCUUUCCAAAUCCUCCCAAAUCGGAAGGAAAGUUAGGAGGGAAGGUGAUCCACCCAUUUCCUUCCACUUCCUUCCACUUCUCUCUUUUAAUGAAACUCAGGAACACCAAUUUCUUUUAUUUUCUUCUCAGUUCCAUCAAUUUCCUUUCUUUUCUUUCGUUAAGUUGCACUCGGGAACGGGGUGUUCCAGAUUAGCAAAACUCGAUUCGACUUCAUAGAUAUGUAAUGGACCCCGACCUCUAUUAUACAACAUAAACCUUCGAAGUCGACUCAACAAUCAACCACAAAAGAAACUCGAUCGUUCCCUAUGCAUUGAGCGACCUAAUACCCACACAUCGAACUCCAAUCCAUAAAUUCGACAUCGAUACUCAUUAACACAUUCGACUAUGAGCCUUGACUUGUUCGACCUCAAAUCAAUUGACCAUGUGACUUUGAUUUCUAAAUCAGUGCUCAAGUAUCGAACGACAUUCAUAUCUCAGCCUUCGAUGUCAAGAACAAGAACACAUCCCAUUUCGAAAUUAAAACCCAAAUUAAGUAUGAUGUCGACAUCAAUAGCCCAAAUACAACUUGUACAAUCCAAUUUCACCCUUCAAUUCAAAGAAUCAUCACAUAAAAAUCGAAUUUGACUUUUUCUGGAUUUGACUUCUCGAAGUCAAAGAUCAACAAACAUCAAAUUGAUGAUUCUUAUACCAAAUUUCUGAUCAAAAACGUUUUCAAUCAACUGUUCUUCAUUACAUUCAUGUGUUCUUGACAAUAUUCAUCCAAAUCAAUGAAUCAAUUUUCGAUUUCUAAACUUCAGCUUCAACAAAAUCGAUUUUGUCAUAGAAGAAAUCAUAUGAAAUCAAUUUACAACUCCAGAUUAUCAACCAAUACUAAAGGAUAAACCAAAAAUGAGCAAACGAGAACUAGAACUCAAGAACAAUCGAUUAAGAAUUAAGAUAUAUGGAACCGAUAGUACAACUAAGUAAAGCGUGCGUACAAGUGGGCUUAAGGUAAACUGAUGAUGAAUAGUAUUGGAUUGCAAUUUGGGCUCAAAAUGAUUUGUGAACAAUAAAUAUUCCAAAUUUAGAUUAUAAAAUGAAUUUUGGCCUAAACCAAGCAUGAUGAACAGUAAUAAACCCAUAGAAUCCAAUCAUAUAUAGAAUGUUCUUUGAACUCAAUUUUGAUUCAAAAUAACAAUUGCAAAUUUAGAAUCGAAUAGAACAAAAUAAUAUGAGAUUGGAUCGGGCUUGAUUAAUGAAAAAAAUUAUUGGAUCAUAACAAACGAGUUUUUCAAAAAAAGAUGAUCCAAUGGGUCAAAAUGAAAAAAAAAAUCAAGAACGCAAGCAUGAAUCAAAGAGAUUUAGAGAGAUCAUUGAGAGACUCACCAUAAACGUUCCAAUUGUGUUGAAUGUAGCCAAACCAAGAACCGUUUCUUCAAAAAAUCGCUUUUAUCUUCGAAGACACACUCUGAUACCAAUUGAUGUGAAUAUGAGCAUUUGAUUUGGCAUGCGGAAUUAAAGAACACGGUGAUUUGGGUGCUAAAAGAUGUAUUAGAUCAUAGGAAUGAGUAUAAAAAGGGUACUAGACUAGAAGUUUAUAAAUAUCUCACUCACUAGUCACUAAUAACUACAUCUCUCAAGCACACCUCUAUAAAUGGUAUGGAACCCACCUUAUAUAGAGGUGCUUACAUGUCUUUCUUUCUCUCUCUCUCUCUCUCUAUCUAUCUAUCUAUCUAUCUAUCUAUCUCUAUCUCUAUCUCAUGUCACAGGGUUACUCUACCACAUGCAAGUGGGUCUACAUGAGUCAAACCAUUACAAAGUUAUAUAUGGAUAACUUUCCACCCCAACAUGGGUAUGAAUGGAUACCCAAUAGCGGUCAUUUUAUAGGCCGUUUCCUUAAACUCCCCUUAUAGUAUGACUUCGUGAAUGACACAUACUAGGGAUUUGACUGACUUAAUCUUAUACAUAUAGUAAUUAACUUUUAAUAUUAUAUAUGGUGUAUGUUAAAACUUUUCAAAAAUACAAGGUUUAAAUUAAAAUUUUGAAAUUAAGGAAUUAAUUUAAUUUAAAAUAAAACAAUUAUGAUUUUGAUCUUUAUCUUUUAAUUAAUCAAAUAAUUAGAUAUAAUUAACACAUAAGGAUAAAUCACAAAUUAUAGAUAAGGAUAUCUGAUUACUAAGAUAAAUAUUUAGUUUUACAUAAUUAAAAACAUUAUAUAACGUAAUUAUCAUAAUCAAUUCAUAAAUUAAGCCAAGAAAAACAAUUUUAGCAAUCUGAUCGUCCACCAUUAUCGUGGUCUACAAUUACCACGUCGUGGUCGAACAAAAAGGAACACGAAUUUGUAGAUCACCACGUCAUGGUAGAAGAUACCACGUCGUGGUGUCGAAACAGAAUGAUGAUUCUGUUUAAGCUCCUUGUUCAAGUUCAAGCAACGUACAUUCAGUUGUUAGACAACCAUACGCUCUGAUAGCACUGAUGGGUUUUACAUGUACUAACGCGGAUAAAUCCUUAACACUUAAGGGUACAUGCAACCUAAAGAUCUAAGUCAUAACACUAUUGAUGCAACAUUCUAUUGAACAAUAAGAACACACUAACCCUAGGUAAUAUUGAAAAUUACAGAAGGUAAAACAUACAUUUUGAUUGUUGUAGUAAACAAUCAAGAAUCCUUUCUGCAAUAACUUGGAAGCUAGUAACACAAAUUUCUUGCCUCUGAUGGUUCACACCCAACACUAGCAAACAAGAAACUUUUAAGAGAGGAGAGGCGAUGUCAAUUUUUGGCUAUCUCUAGAGUAGAAGGAGUCAAGUGGCCGAAAAUUGUAAGCUAUGAGACACUAUAUAUAGUUGUUAGGAAAACCCUAGAUAAGCCUUACUUGAUUAAAAUAAUAAUAUCUUAAAUCAGGUAAUUAUCUGGUUUCCUAAUUAUCUUCAAUGGACAUUCUAGAUCCCUAAGGAAGCCACAUAUUUUUGGCCUACCUAGGAUUAUUCUAGAAUCCCUCUCUUGUUUAACUAUUAAACAAUCACAGCUUAGGUCCUUGCACUUUUAAUUAAUCCAACUAAUCCCAAAAUUAAUUUUGGUUAAUUUCUUAUUCAUUGUUAAUUAAAUAAUAUUAUUUCUAAUUAAUAUAUUAUUUUCAUAACAUAUCAAUAACUUCAUUUAUUGCUAUUAUUAAUCAUAUAAUAAAUCAAUAAACCUGUUUCUCUCUCUCUCUCUCUCUCUCUCUUUCUCUCUCUUUCUCUCCCCCCCCCCNNNNNNNNNNNUUUCUCUCCCCCCCCCCCUCUCUCUCCAUCUCUCUCUCCCUCUAAAAAUCAUCUGAUUUAAUUAUUAGGUUUAAGGGAAACCCAAAAGGACUUUGCUAAUAAUUCAAGAUUAUACAAAUUCAGUUAUUGACUUAGACACCUAAUCCAACAUAAAGUUCAUACCUUGACACCUUUUCUUCUAAAUUCAAGUUAUAGGUCAUAUUUGGGUGGUUUUGUCCCUUUCUUGGAUGUUCUUGGAGUUUGGAAAACUCCAGAACAUGUAGUGGCUUCUCUAGCUCCUUGGAAUUAUACUGCUUGAGAAAAAGGACCAUGCUCGGUGUAUUUUGUGCCCAUGUUCAAGUUAUUGCCCCAUUAAGGACCUAUUGGACUUUGAAUGAUAGAUCUAACCUUAAAAUGGAGUAAACAUGGAUAAAGUUGGAAACUUUAUCCAUUAAGUUAGUAUGGAAGAGUAGAUCUAGAAGUAUGGGCUUGGAUCUGAAAGGAUUAAGCUCUUAAUGAGAAAUAUGGCAAUUUCUAGUGGCCAUGGCAUGGAAAAGGGUAGUCACGACAUGGCAAAGUUGAGGAUUAUGAUUGUCUUGUCUUGGCAUGGUCACGACAUGCCAAGGAGGGCCACGACAUGGCAAUAUCCUUCAUAGUUGACUGUAUGACCUUGUGCUCCCAUGAUGUGGCCAAGGGGGACCACGACAUAGCGUUGACUUUGACCAAAUUGGUUGUUGACUUUUUGACCAGUUUGACUUAUGGCCAAACUUGAAGGAUUUAGGAUAUUGCUUAAGAUUCUACCUGGUUUGGUGAUUAGUGGAUUCACCGAGCUAGAAGUGAAGCGUGUCUCAGUGUUUUGGGGUUCUUCAUUCAGAUGAGUUUACCUUAUUAUACCCGUGGGUCGAAGGCACUAAUCUCGGCCCACUAGUUUUGGUUAUUGUUUAUUACAAGGAUACUCUAGGGAUUGUAUGUAGUCAUGUAGGAUAGCCUGAGGACUCCUGAUCUUGGCUUUCUUUCCUUUUCCUCAUUUGGUUAUGGCUCUGGAGUAGGAUAACAUGUUCGAGUGACUAUCUCACCUCUGAAUACAUAUGCUUAUGUAUUCCUUGGAUUGCCGGUCAUGUAUCAGUGUGUAUAGGAUGUUGUUGUGUUGUAGUGAUCUGCUAUAUAUAUAUAUAUAUAUAUAUAUAUAUAUAUACAUAUAUCCUUGUAUAAUAGGAUGCAACAGUAGUGGUAUGAUGGUUAAAGUACCAAUAGUCUGGUUAUCAUCUAGUAGAGUGCCCUAGGGGUUGUAUGUAGUCAUGUAGGAUAUCCUGAGAACUCUUGAUCUAGGUUUUCUUGCAUGUUCCUCAUUUGGUUGUGGCUCUAAAGUACGAUCAUCUAUUUAGCUGGCCAUCUCACAUCUGGUUACUUAUGGUUACACAUUCCAUGGAAGUUAAGUGGUAGCGAAGCAGUGUGUUGUGAGAGGCCUAGUAGGCAGUAGUGAACUAUAUGAUGGAUAUUGCUUGUAUUAUGUGCUUACUUGAUCCUUGUUUGUUUAUAUGUCAACAUAUGGUAGUGGAUGAGGUUGAUGCGGUCUUGUUGCAUGUUAUAUGCCAAGAUACAUGGUGCAGGUCAGUUGCAAGCCGUAGGCACGGAGGCUUGGGAAGAGCAAUUGGGUUGAGGCGACAAGCCAACAAAGCCUGGGUAUUUCAUUCCGAUGACUAAUUGGACACGUUGCAUGUUGGCAUUCCAUUACAAUGGCUGAUUGUGCCAGGGUAAUCCAAUCUGUUGAUUGUGUACCCGAUAUGCAUGCUAGUAUGUUUGUUGUAUGGGGUAUUUGGGGGAAAACUCACUAAGAUUUGUUUUUACCCAGUUGUUUAUGUUUCAUGUUCUAUCGGUGAUCGUGGGAAGGCGAAGGUAGGACUGUACACAUACAUCAGCAACAUUGAGGAUAUUGCGCUAUUUAUAUUACUCUGAUUUUCAAUAAAUGUAAUUUGAAAUAAAUGAUUUUCUUAAAAUGUAUUUAUAACUAGAAAGUUUUACCUUAAUAAAAAUGAAAAUUUGGUUGUGAAAAUGGGACGCUACUAGGUCCUUCAAGCAAAACACUCAAUCCUCCCCCACUCAGGGCUUACUCCCUUAUUGGUGGACGUCUUCCACGUCAAAGCCUAAAACCGGUCCCUCCAAAUACCCUCGAAAUACGAAUCUUUGGUAUGUAAAGAUGACAUCUGAAAAUUCUUGAAUAAUAACCAGCAAUCACAAAUAAAUCAUGUUCCUUAGAUGGAGACGUCAUAAAUUUCCGACCAUUACAACUUCCAACGCUUCACGAACUAUCUUCAUACCUUUUGUAUUUUGAAGCACCCUAAAGGCUGAAUCCCUGAUCCAUUAAAACCUACACAUGCUAACAUAAUAUCUCUAACAUGAUAACUAUACGAAUGACUAUCAAUUGUUGGCACCACACUAGUAAAGUACAUACCCAUUCUAGAUAAAAAUGUAGAUAAAAUUCAUGCCUGUGAUUUCUGGCGAUCCAACCUUGACCUCCUGUCGAAUGAUGGGUGUUGGGGCUCGGACUCCCUCUGCUACCCAUGCAUGAUAGUCUAGUUUGAGAUGAAUCGACUGGUGAUAGUAAAAAAAACAUUUGACCCUUCUUGAAAUCGUGGACGACAUGCCCUUUCUCUCCAUACUUGUAGUAUUUGAACUUGUGGAAAGAAAACCCAUGGGCCCACCACAUUUUCCAUAGAUAUCAAAGUCCCCCUGAUUUACAGUACCUAGGUUAGCAACCUCGAGCUCUCUGUCCGUUGUUGAAAAUGUUGAAUCAUGAGCCCUCUUUCUAUUUGCGUGAUGCGCUCCCACAACAAUAUCCCUCCCCAAGAAGCCUCCAAAGUCUCUUCCACAAUCCAAAAGGUUGUAGAUCGAUCCUCGAACUUGAAAAUCAGUAUGUCAGUGAUGUGGCAAUGAUACCGGGUACCCCUUCCUAUAAAAUCUGUGAAACCUCAUUGGAAAUCUAAUCGCGUAGCCCUACGUUAUUUGUGUAAACCUCGGAGGACUCUUCUUAUUGUCUAGACAUCGAAAUCCUAACAAACAAGACCAAGUUGUCAUCCCAUAACCAAAAUUUCAUCAUUAAUCCAUCACACUUUACCCACGAUAUAGAAAACCGCACGUAAAUCAUGUACUGGCUUUUUAGAAUCCUCGUGACUUUCCUCGAUUUGAGUAUGGAUCCUAUAUUUCUAGUAGUACGGGCCUAAUACUACCUUCCACACCUAUCCAUACUUUCCUAAAGAAUCAUACUAAAUCUUCUAAGUCACCUCCUUAUGAUGAUACUCCCAAAACCCGCUAAACAGCGCACUAAUCAUACUAAAGCACUUCCUAGGCUCUCCUAGGAUUCUCACCUCACCCUGCCAUCAGCUGCUGAAAGAACCCUACCAAUGUCAGCUAACUAUUACAUGAAUACAAUUACAUGCAACAAAACAUAAAUAAUCUUUCGAAUAAAAGACUCAUCCCUACAAUGGUUGACUCAAACGAGAGCUACACAGUAGGUCAAAUCAAUCACUCUGAGAUUAUUUAACCCUUGCAGCAAGUAACUUAGCCUAUCCAUUUAAUAAUUAACUCACAUCAAUAUGAGUUAUACAAAGCACAAGCCAAUAAUAUUCGAGAACUGGAACUCAAAUAAGGCAUCAUAAGGAUCAAGCAAUCUUCAGUCUACUCACUAUCAGGCAUAUCUACCAUUUCACAGAUCAAGCAUAAAAGGCAUAUCUCCUGAGUAAGCAUUCUAGCAUGUAACCCUGAGUAGACCCCUAUUCUAACUUCUAGCAUGUAUAUCUAUCACAUCAACAAUAAAUAAAACAAGUAUGGGUAUCUUGGGGAAUAAUUUCUUGCUAAGGUUGAUCAUACACAUCUCUCCUUCCUUGGUCAUUUUUUAGAACAAUUUUGAAAACUUUUGUAGAUCCUUAGUUUGAGUCUGGAUUCACACGGAUGCUUAACAUCCUGUUUCGAGAAGUUUCUUAUUUCGGGAUAGUGGACAAUAAAUUGACCAAGUUAAGGCCUUAGGCUUCAAGGAAAUAAGGUUAAGACACUAUUGGAUGUUGAUAAUAUUAGUUAUGCGAUCUAAUCCCUUGGUUGUGUUUUGGAGUCAAAGGAUAAAACGGGAAAAGUGAUGUUUCAAACUUCUUUUGUGAAUUUAGGAUUUUAUUUUCUUGUGUUUUAAGUCAAAAGUAAUUAGAUAUGGUUGCAGAUCCUUUCAAUACCUUUCCAUGGGCAUAAAGAAUGCCAAAAUCGGAGUUGGAACAAAGAAGUUAUGGUCGUUUGAAGUUUGAAUGAAAAGCGAGACUUUAUCCAGUAUGAUGGGCAUAUACCAUGUAGUACACUAGGCAUACUGACUAUAGAAGACACAUGAUCACUUGAGUAUGUUGGACAUACUUAUAGGUACAUUGGGCGUACGCUGGCAGGAGAAAAACCCUAAAUUUUAGGGUUUGGACCCUAUUUAAGUAUCAUUAACUCUUAAAACCCUCCACAUAUUCAGCCUCCAUCCCACCUCAACCUAUAAUCUUGAAACCUUAGCCUUCUCUCUCUUAUUUUGAUUCUUGGAAUCAUUUAUGAGCUUAAUUCUCCAUUAAAAUGUGGGAUCUUGAAGAAUAAGGUGGUGUCAAAGUGUAUGGGUGAAGGAUUCAAGCAUAGAUCUAGCAAUUUUACAUUAUUUCUAGACCUUAAUGAGUAAAAAGCAUCAAACUUGCUCAUUAGUUUCUAAGAUUUUGCUAAUUUUCAUAAUUGUCACUUUUUGGUUACUUUAGUACAUGUAGUUUAGAUCUUGAAAGUUUGUGACCUUGUUAUGGAUAAAGUUGGAAACUUUAUCUAUCUAAACAUCAUGUUGAUUCAGAUCUGAAGGUUGGAGACUUGGAAUUAAUGAAUUAAGUUGAGAAAGUUGCAUUUUGGUCCCUUUGAGACUUAAAGACCAGAUCUUGGGUGUUUGGACCAUCCUAGUGGAUAAAGUUGGAAACUUUAUCCAUUUUGGAGCUAAUAGGAAACAUAAAAAUGUGAUAUUGGUCCUUCAAUACCCUCCAUGCAAAAGUUAUGAAUCUAGGGCUUUGGUUUGGACACCAUUAAUCCAUGUAAAGCCAUAAAGUCGGGAACUUCAUGACUUAACACAUCCCAUAGAGGUUAUAUCGGAGUUUGGACAUUUUGGUCUUAACCAUUAAGUUCUUAAAGUAGGAUUUGGUUACCUAGGGAGCACGUCGUGCAUACGUAUGUGUACACUCAGUGUACUACAUGUUUUCUCGAUAUCAUGUUGUGGCGAGUUUUAUGUUAGGCAUCAUUGUGUACUAUGCGGACCGUACUCAUGAAACUUUGUUUUUGGGCCUUUUGGGCUUUGGUUCUUUUGGGAGCUGGGCCAUGAGUUAUUGGGUCAGAUAUGGGAAGGGUAAGAUGGUCUUUUACCCAAUUGAUGGAUAGAAUAUGAAUUGGACCUUGGAUUUUGGAUUAUGGAAAUUUCCUUAGUUUUUUAUUAGGGAUAAUUUGGUUGUGUUUAGUGUAAUUAGCUCGGUAGCAGCAACGUGUGUGAUUUGGUUAUCUCUAGUUUAAGGUGAGUUUCCUCACUGUGUUUAGCAGGUCAAAGGCACCAAUGUCGACCCAUGGAGUAUUGUUACUAGAAUGCUAGAUGUUUGUGUGACUCUUCGAUGUAUUGUAUGUGUUUGUAUGUAUGUCGGGCGGGGACUGAUGAGUGUGUUGGGAGGGGCUCAUCGCAUGUUGCUGACAGAUUUGUACCGGGCGGGGUUUGAUGGAGGUCGGGCAGGGCUCGAUGAAUAUCGGGCGAGGUCUGAUGCCGGGCGGGGCCUGAUGGACUUCGGGAAGGGCCCGGUGUAUGUAUAUAUGUAUGGUAUGUGGUAUUGUAACGCCUGUGUUUCCGGGCUUGCCAUUUUUAGCAAUGUAAUAGUCUAGGUUAACCUUUGUAACCCAAUUUGAAAUAAUAAUAAUGUAUUAUUUGCGUAUUAUGUGUUUUGUGCUUAAUUGCUUAAUUAUGUGUUUUGAUUAAUUAAGAAUAAAAAUAAGCGUCGAAAUUUAAGUUUAAAAUAAACUUGAUAUCAUUGUAUAAAGUUGUAGUGGUCGAAACAAGGAUUCCGAAGAUAUAAAGAAUGCCGAAAUCCGAGUUAUAACGAAGAAGUUAUGACCUGUCGAAGUUUUACGGCAAAACCGGCACGGCACCGGGAAGCGUAAAUAGUGAAUUUAAGAUAGAGCGAGAUUUAGCCUUAUCAAUCUAAACAAAAGUUGUAGAAUAUGUUAAGAUAAGAGCGUCAAUAAAAAGAACGCCCAAAUCUGACUUCGUAUGAGGAAGUUAUGAUUUUUCUAAGAUUCGGCUUAGCAGUGCACGACCCGAAACUCGAAUUUUAGUUCGAGCGGUUUUUGGCUUACGCGACCUAAAUGAGAGUUGAAGGUCUCAUUAAUAGGAACUCAACGGUAAAAAUAUGGACGAAAACGGAGUUCGUAUGAAGGAGUUAUGAAUUCUUCGCGGUCGUUUAACAGUCUAAACGCCUCCUACUGUUAAAUUUGAGAUCGGUCAAGAUUUAGCCGACGGAGUCUAAACGAAAGUUGUAGAUCUUGAUUUUACCUACGCGUGGAUAUAAAGAACGUCAAAAACGGAGCUCGUAUGCGAAAGUUAUGAUUUUUCUAAGUUCGAAGGCUAACACGCGAUAGGGGUGACGUGGCACCACCCAGAGUUUGACACGUGGCACCAGCAGAAAGCCGCCACAUGGGCCAACUCGGCGAGUAGGUGUUCCCUACUCGGCGAGUAUGGGCCAACUCGGCGAGUAGGUGUCCCCUACUCGGCGAGUACAUCAGAUAUUUUCACUAUAAAUAGGAUGCGAGGGUUCAGGGUUUAUUUGCUCAUUUCUUCUCGUCUUUGCGCCGAAGCUCUGCAUUUUUACCCCCGAAGCUACCCCGAAGCCCCGGUAUCAUACUCUAGCCCCGAGGCAAGUCCCGAGAUCCCGAAGAUCCCGAGAAGUGCGGUUCCCGAGUCGAAGCUCUGCCCGCGAGAAGUUCGAUUUUCGAGAAGAUCUUCCAGAUCUGCUGUGGAUUACUACUUCUAUAAGCCGUAGUGCUGUCCGAUCAUCUUCUGAUCAAGUGAGUGUGUAGUUAUUUCUUCUAAUACAAUAAUACGAAGUAUUUUAUAUAAAAAUACGUGCUAUGUGUAUAUAUUUGGUUGUGUUAUGUGUGAAUGAGUAUUCACUCUCUUCUAUCUUAUAGAUCUGCUUAUUUCUUUAUGAGAUAUGUGUUAUGUGUGUGUGUGCCUCAUCUGUUAUGUGAUAUAUGUGUUGAUUAAAGCAUGCUAUACAGGUUUUCUUUAAACUAUGUAUACAAAUGUAUAUUUUUAUCUACUAAUAUGUUGGGUAGAACAUGGGUAGACAGUUGGUGUGUAAUAAACAGAUGAGAGGCCUCGUUGUUGUUUGAUUGAGUCAUCUAGCGGAGUUUAGAUGACGACCACUGGCUAUUCUAGACAGUCUUGUGGAAACAUUAGCAGGUUCGCCACCUGUAGGUGUUAAUGAACUUGGGUGUUCAUUCGCUGUACUCCAUCCCCCUCAUGGUUGCCUUAUUUGACUUAUAUUGCUGAGGUACCCCCGAAGCAUGUGUUGUCACCCCGAUGAAAUAUUCUUAGACUAGGUCCCUUAUGUUAGUUGUUUUAGGGACAUUAAAGUGAGAAUAACGGGAAUGGGUAAUUGGGUUAUUGUUGGUUGGUGAAAAUUAAAUAUGAUAUUUAUUGUGGGUUGAAAACCCUAUAUGCUCACCAGGCUCCCAAGCCUGACCCACUCAGUUUUAAAUUGUAUUACAGGUAGUGGCGGAAGGGCAUGAGAUGGAUGAACCAUCAAGUUGUUUUGUUUACAAGUCUGCAUAUGUUUAUAUUUGUUAUAUGACUUGUAAUGUAUUCGUUUAUGCUUAUUGGUCUGUAUCGGAACAUGACACCCCGAGUUUUGAUUAUAAUGAAAAUACAUUUCUUUUAUGAAAUGCUUCGAUAAACAAUGUUUUAUCAUGUUUUGUUUUUGGGAACAAAUUCCGCAACUCUUUCAAAUCAAAAGGAUUUACUCUGAAAAUAUUUAAAAGCAUAAAUGAAAAUCGGUCUUUUCUGGCCGAGAUUUUGGGGAUGUCACAGGUAUUUUGGGGAACUCAUUAAGCUUUGUGCUUACAGAUUUAUGGUUAUGGUUUCAGUACUUCUAGUUCGAGAGGGAAGGGUCAAACUUGAUCACAGUGCAUCCACCAAUGUUUCCGCACUUUUAUGAUUUUGGGAAUUAUACCCUAACAAUUAUUUUACUUUGACGUACUUCUGGUUGGUUGAUAAGAAUAAAUAAUGUUUUGUGUUGACUUAAAAAUGAAAAUUUUACCUUAUAGUUUCCGGGACGUUACAAAUUCUCUCAAACCAGGGCUCUGAUACCAACUUGUAAUAUCCCAAAAACCACAAUAAAAUUUUCAUUUUUAUAUUAAAGUAAAUUCAUUGUUUCAACCAAAACCCAAGUAAAAAAAACCAGUGUGUAACAUCCCGAGAUUUUGCAGGUAUUUUUGAAUCCUCUCUUCUAUUUUAUUUUGUCAUUUGUAGUCCAUGGGGUUAGAAGAGUCGACCCAUGAGAAGCCUAAGGGCUAAAGUUGCAACUUUGAAAAACAAGGCUAGUACGCUAAGCAUACACAAGGUACGCUAAGCGUACUAGGCGCGCCUUAGUACGUUGGGCGUACACUUGUGUACGCUAAGCGUACUCACGUAAGGAGGAAACCCUAAUAUUUAGGGUUUUAGUGCUAUAUAAACAUCCUUAUGAGCUCAUAACCCUCCCUUACCUCAGCAUCCACAGUUUAGAGCCAUUUUCCCCAAACCCUAAUCCUUUCCUUGAGUGUGUGAGUUUAUAGAGUGUGUUUUGAGUAGUUAGAGAAAAAAGUGUUGCAUCAAGAAGUUGGAGAAGGAGAACAAGCUUGUAGAUAUGAAGUUGUUUGGUGCCCUAGAAGCUUUAGAAGGUAAAAAAGCUUCAAACUUUAUGCUUGUAUGAUAUAAAUCUUGCCAUGCUAGCUUUAUGGAACCAAUUCUUGUCCCAAAAGUCCAAAGGUGGUGCAUGAUGUGAUUUAGACGAGAUAAGCUGUCCUUUUAGACCUUUGAAGAGGUCCUAAGUGAUAAAAAUGAUGUCCCAAUAGCUAAAUGUAUCUCAUACAUGGAGUAGGAAGAUCUUAAUGGAUUAAGACAAUGUGUUAAGAACUCUCUGAGUCCAAAGUCUUAAAGUUCAAGACUUUAUGGUUCUAAGGCACUUUUGGUCGAUGGAUCUGGAGUUUGGACUUAAGUAGUUAAGUGCUUAAUCCAUUAAGCACUUAUUAGGGUUUUGGCAAAACCUCGCGUACGUCCCGCGUAAAUUUUGUACGCCCAGCAUACUGGGUCAAUCACCCCUAUGGUGGUCAAUGUCAGGAAGAGUACGCCCAACGUACUAGAGGAGUACGCCCCGCGUACGUCCUCUGUUGGGCUUUUGACAAAUUGUGCUUCGGGAUUGGGCCGCUUUUGGACUAACUGGACUUGGGCCUUGUUGGGCCCUCUGAAUAAUUACGAUUGGGCUAGUUUUGAUAAGGGAUCCUAUAAUAAGGCUCAAUUAGGAAGUUAGGCCCAAAUUGGGGAAUUUGGGCCAUUAAUGGGCUUUGGAUAUAUGGACUUUUAAGAUUAUGGAUUUGGCAAUUGGGCCUUGGCCCAAUAAAAAGAAACGACAAAAUGAAUUAUUUGGACCCUUAGUCAAGAUUGAUAUUCCCAUUUAUUGACUUAAUAUUCGUUAUUUGGAUAGUUUGGGAUUUUUGGUGAGACAUCAAUUCGGGAGUUCGAUUCUUCAAUUCAGAUCAACAUUACAAGGUGAGUUUUCCUCACUAUACUCAAGGGUCUAAGGCACCAAGGCCGGCCCUUUUGGAUUGCUAUCCUGAUAUGUUAUAUGCUCGAGUAUUGUAAGAUAUGUUAGAUCAGUAUCCUGGUAGAUAGGAUGUUAUAUGUUGUUAUGAUCCGUUAGAUCAAUAUCCUGGUAGAUAGGAUGUUAUAUGUUGUUAUGAUCCGUUAGAUCAGUAUCCUGGUAGAUAGGAUGUUAUAUGUUGCUAUGAUUUGUUAGAUCGAUUUAUCUGUCUAUUGACUGUUAUGUGAUUAGCUGAUAUAUGUGCACAUGUUUGAUUGUUGGUUGAGGCUUAUCUGCUUUGUGCGAAAGCCAAUAGACCUGGGAAUUCCAACCCGAUGGUUGUGGGCCGUGAGUAUUCUAUCUGAAGGAUGAUUGGAAUCGUAGUAUGUGGGCAUUCCAACCUGUUGGUUGUGGGCCUAGGGUAUUCCAUCCCGAGGAUGAUUGGACCAAUAGUGUGUUGGCAUUCCAACCGGAUGGUUAAGGGUCUGGGGUAUUCCAACCUGAUGGUUAACAGGACCCAUAGUAUGUUGUUCGUGAUUAUAUGUGUAUUGCUGUGUGUAUGGGUAUUUUAGGGGAACCCACUAAGCAUUGGGCUUACGGUUUCAGUUUUAGUUUCAGGUACCUCAGAUGAUCGCGGGAAGGCAAAGGCGUGAUCGUACAACUCCUCACAUUUUAUGACUUUGUUUCUGGGAUACUCUGAUAUGGAACUAUUUUAAAAUAGAUUUGUAAUAACUAUUGGUUUCUAAAUGUUUUAUAUUGGAUUAAAUUCAAUUAUCCCGUAAUAAAAUGUAUCAUAAAAUCUUCAAACAUAUCACUGAAGGAUGUGUAUUAUCACACCUUUGCCUUGUUCUGAUCAUUUGAUGCACCUGAAACCAUAAAAUCAAACUGUAAGCCAAAGCUUAGUGAGUUCCCCCAAAGUACCAUACACAACCAUACAGAUAACAACAUACAUAUAUGAGCUUUCAUCCUGACUGGGCCACCUCGUAGGGUCUACAACCAAUUUGGACCGUUUAUCAAGCCUUCGGCCUGAGUGAACCGCCUUGCAGGGCCUAAAGCCUAUAUGGACCGCUCUCUGGCCCUUCGGCCUAACUUGACAACCUCUUGGGCCUUUGAUCUAUCCGAACUGCCUUGUGUAUCUUGGCCUUCAAGACAAAGCAAGACCGUCUCAAUCCAACAAACCAUAACAUGUCGACAUAUACAAUAACAACCAAUAACCAACAAGUACAAGUAAUCAUAUAGAUCUACCAGUCUAACAUAUACUCCGUGAAUGCAUGUAAUCAUACAGACCUACCAGUCUAACGUAUAACCUGUAAAAUAUCAAUUCAAUAUACCAGGAUACAUAAUCCAAUGGGUCGUCAUUUGUGCCUUCAACCCACAAGUACAAUGAGGAAAACUCACCUCACAACCUGAAAUGUAGUUGAACAGAUCAUAGGUCCAACUAUUGACUAUAUUGGUUACCUAUACAAUAGUAGUGACCCAAGUCUCAAUGUACUAAUCAAAAUAUCCAAAAUAACCUAAAGUCAAACUUGGUCAAAGUCAACGGUCAACAGUCAAUGUUAAAGUUAACUCCAGUUGGUCACCAUGUCGUGGCCAUCUGUGGCCAUGUUAUGGCCACUAAAUGACAAAGUAGACGAGUCUUAGACCAGCCGCCAUGCCUUUGCAGCCUAGGCCACACCGUAGGCACUGGGCUCCUAACAACUUAAUGGGUUAAGCCGCUUUUCUUUAAUUCGAAGGGCUCCAAAGCUUAGUUCUGGUCCAUUCUAUGGUCUAAAUGGAUAAAGUUUUCAACUUUAUCCUUUAAGAUGUUCCAAGAGAUAAAGAUCUCAACUCCAUGGUCCAAAAAGGGCAAAAACACAACUUGGCUUAAUCAAUAAGCACUUAAUCUUGAAGACCACUUGUCUAACAAUCCCAAAAAGGUUCUAGCACCAUUACUAACAUAAAAAUCCAUGCUUUUCAUACAUGCAUGUCCAAAAGCAUGUCUUGAACUCCUAUUAUGUCAAAAUGAGGUUUAAUGACCAAAAAUCCAUGCAUGACACCAAAACUCAUUUCUAAUUUAGAUCCAAAGCACCAAAUACUCAAAAUGCGCUGGAGAUUCAUAAAGUUGCAAACUUUAUGAGGUCUCACUACUUAAAUUCGUCAAGACAUUAAGAAAGGGACAAAAUCCAUAGAUCUAGCAACUUAGCAAGGCAAAGGUUGGGUCUUGGACACUCACCACGGUCCAAAAGAUGUGCUAGCUAAUAUAGAGGAUGCUUGCAAGGUAAAUCACCACACAAAGGCUUCCAUCUCCUUCAAAAAUCACUAAAAACACCAAAAUGAGUUCACAAUUGUAAUGGAGGCUAAGGUUAGGAUUCUGAGCUUUAGAGUGAUCAUGAAAUCCUAGCCUUGAUGUUCUUUAACUAGGGCCCAAAGAUUAGGGGUUUUCUCUAAAAACAAAUGCCACGGCGUAGCACCUAUGGUCACGCCGUGGCGGAUCAUUUAAGUUUGCGACCCAAAUCAAUACUGCCACGCCUUCAGCUCCACCACGUCGUGACCACCCAAAGUAAAGGUUUAAUUCUAAAAAAUUGGCUCAAACAUGGGACGAGAGUUACACACAAGUUCGAUGAAUUUGGCCUACGAAAUCCAAGGUUCGCACUCCCUGCAUGCGAGUAAGAAUUGGAAUAAAACCAUAGACACAAGCUUGAAUGCAUGAUAGCUUGAAAGCCUAUCAUGCAUUCAAGCUUAUAAACUCACUUGAGUACGGUCUUUCUACCAAUGUGGGACUCAUUCCCAUACUCACCUCUCUUGCCAACUUUUUUUCUAAAAUACGCAGUUUUGAGUGUCGAUAUUUCAUUCAAAUAUACUCUAUUUUAGACAUACGAUAUACCAUUCCUAAGCUCUCACGGAAGAAUACAAACCCACUUAGAGUUAAUUAUAUAUACAACAUAUGUAUAUAUCUAUAUAUGUCCAAAGUUAGUAAAAAUAAUAACAUAUAGAUAUUUAUACUAAAAUUUCCAACGGACGGAGGCAAGAGACACAAGGGUUGAUGACCUUGGUAAUUUUAGGGCAUUAGGUACUAAUUGGGAGCGAAAGUACCAGUCAAUGGUCAAUGACCUUCCACAUCCAUUAUAACAUUUACUUAAAAAUAUAAAAACUAAUUUUUCUAAUAUGAACACUAAAAACUAAAUAAUAAAUCAUAUAGAUACCGUGUAAACACAUCAUGGUGUUAAGCUGUGUCUAAUAUUCCAUAUAGAAUGGCAAAUCAGCUUGGCAAUCUAAAAAUUAGUUAAAAUGGUACAAUCAACAAAUUAACAAAGUUAAGUGGAUUAGAAUAUACCUUAAAAAUAAUUAUUGGCCAAAUAAGUAAAAAAAAUGAAUAGUUCGUUAGUUUAGAAUGAAAUUAUCCUUGAAAUUUACAAUUUAUAAUUUCCAAGACAAUGAUUUAUAUGCAUAUUUUCAUAUUAAUAUAAAAAUAUCUCAAUUUUCUCCCUUGUGAGCGAGUUCUUAGACAGGUUGGAUUCCUUUUAUAUUUUCCAACUCAUGGUUGUUACUCGAGACGAGUUGUGACACAAUAUUAGACUCUUGGAAUACUUUGGUGGUGGGGGUAAGGCAAACAAGUAGUUGUUGAAACUUAAAAAACGGAAACAUGAUAUUAUAAGUUGGAGAUCUCAUAUAUACAUCAUAGAAUUCAAAGAAUUUUCAAAUCUUUUAAAACAUAUUAAUGAAUUGGAGAUUAAGGCUAUGUUUGCGGACUAGCUGAAAAGCUAGCUGUUAAAUAAAAAACUAGCUGAUAGCUGAAAAGUUAGCUGAUAAAAAAUAACGUUUGGUAAAACUAGCUGAAAAGCUAGCUGAAAUAUAUAAAAUUACAUAAAAGGACAUGUAAGAAUAUGUGUUUCUAUAAUUAAUUAAGGGGUGUAUUUGGAAAAUUUAAAAAAAAAAAAGCUUCUAAAAAGCUAGUCUAAAUAGCUUUUCAAAAAGUUAGCUUAUAAGCUACUUUUUGGCUUACCAAACAUGACAACAUAAAAAAAACUCGAAAAAUAAACUAGCUUAUCAGCUAGCUGUGGCGUGCCAAACACAGCCUAAAGCAGAGUCUAUAAAUAUCUCUUCUCCAAAGAGAUGUGCUAGCAAAAAAUUGGAAAAGUACGCUGUUAGAAAUUGAUACCUUAUUACCAUCAAAAUGUUAGAUCUUAGACAAAAAGCGAUAAAUAAAAUGGAAUGUUGAAGGAGAUGAAAACGGUAAAAAGAAUCAUGAGGUUAUAAAUGGAAAUAUAAGGGAAAACAGGAUAAACAUACUCAUAAUUGAUGAUGAAUGGUCUAUGAAUCCAGAAAAAAAAAAAUAAAUAAAUAAAGAUGAGGUUUGGAAGUUCUUCUCUUCAAAAUUCAAUGAGGUUCUCUCGCAUAGGCCGAAGUUUAUAAAUUCAAAUUUCAAAAAGUUGUUAACCGAAGAUCUUUGAUAUUCAUUCUCAUUUUUGGAAAUAAAGGAAACGGAUUGGUGUUGUGGAAAUGAAAAAGAUCUGCAACUUGAUGGCUUUACUUUUAAAUUUACAAAGGGCUUAUCAUAUUUUUUUUAAAAGUGUUAUUUUUUAUUAUAACAAGAACUUUGAAUUGAUUAGAAAGAUUAAUAUAGUUGCAAGGCAUCUUUUAUCUCGCUUAUCUAUAAAGUUAGAGAUCAUUUAUCUUUAAAAAAACUUAAGACCGGUGAAUUUAAUUGGACGCAUACACAAAAUUUUGCCUAAAAUCUUUGCCUUACGUCCCAAGAAAAUGUUGGGCAAAAUUGUAGGGCCAAAGCAAUCAACUUACAUCGAGGGGAGAAGUAUCCUUAAUGGUCCCUUGGUGAUCUCAUGAUCAAUAAAUACUACACAUGAGCCAACAUGGUUUAAAAUAAAAACUUAAAUAAAUUUAAGGUUGAUUUUGAUAAAACGAUUUACUUUACAAUAUUUUGACUUGGUUAGAAGUCAAAUUGAGUUUAUUAAAACGUGGCAUAAAAAAAGGUUUUUAUGAGAAAAUUUGCGAUUAGGAGGAGGUGAGGCAAUGCGACCCCCUUCAUUCUUUUCUAUCAUUGUUGUGAAAGGGCUUAGUGUUACGAUGCUCAAUAUGUUUUUGAAGAGAUUUCUUUUUCGAAUUGUUGAUUUUUAAAAGUUAAGUGAUCAAAUCAAAAGUUAAGUAACUAAAUGAGAACAAAGCUAAAAGUUUGAUAAUAUUUUAAAACUUAAAAAGAAUUAAAUUACCAAAUAAACACGAAACCAAAAAUUAAGGGAUAAAAAUAACCUAAACAUAAGGAUUUAUAUAGAUAAAUCAGCAUUCUUUGUUGGAAGCCCACUAAAUUGACUUUUAACUUAUCUUGGACCCUUAUUGGGGCCAAUAUGGAGCUAGCCAAUAAUUGAAUCUCACUUGUGGCCAGUUUGUAAUUGUUGUUAGCUUGUCUACGAACAUCGUAAAUUGAUGCUGAAAUUUGAAAUAAAAUAUCUGUACUUUUUGCGUAAAAACUCAAAAUACAAUUACAAUUACGUCCAGAAAUAACACGAUAUGGUAACAAGUAAAUCUGCUUAUAGUUAUGACCAAAUAAAGAGUUGGGAGUAUAAUUAUAAUAAUUUUAUUAAAGUAUAAAAUAUUACAUUCAGUUACAAAAUCAAAGAAAUUCAACAAGUACAGAUUUCUUUUUAUCAUGUUAUAUUGGUAAAAUAUAAAAUACCAAUAACUACCUCAAAAAUUUAUACAAAAAUUUUUAUUUUUUUUUUAUACAUAUAAUUGCAAGCCGAAAUCAGGAAGUUGAAAAUUUAUACUCAAAUCGAUCGAUUAUAACUGUUUAUAUUACAUUAUUUGGUCAAUUGGAUUUGGUCCUCUGUUUUUCAUUGGCCAUUGUUGAUGUGUUGACGUUGUGGAAGCCGGAACCGGAGCUGAGACGCCGGCGACUUGACGGCGACGCCGUGCCAACAGAUUCCUCCUCGACACAUCUCAUGCUCCGCCUCAUCGCCGUCACGUGUCACCACCGUGUAAGUCGCAGCUUUACGAGAUACAUCCCACGUCAAAGCUCCGAGCAACAAAACUCCAACUGCCGCCGUGGAUAGAAUCAACACCGAUGCUCCGCCGUAGCUCCGCCCACUCAGCUGGCCGUAUGCUUUGAUCGCUGCUAUUACCGCCAAGUAGAGCAUCAUCAAAUUGCGAACCACCACAUCAGAAACCGCCAUCGCAAUCAAAGAAAUCAACAGAGGAAAAUCGAUUUCUAUUGAUUUGAAUGCGAAGAACAAACUUAAAUUGAAAUUUGGGGAUUUCAGAAAAUCUGGAGGGUAUUAAUUGCAGAAUGUUGGGUGGGUUUUUUUUGGGUUUUCUAGUACCUCACCUCACUCUUAUCUACCACAAUUUAGGGUUAAAUCAAUAUUUUCAGAGUAAAAUAUUUCAGUGUCAAGGUAAGAUAUUAAGUUACUGCACGAUGUACAAGUAGCUAUUGCGUAGUCUUUCUGGAUUAGAAAAAACCUUUUCUGAAUAUUGAUUUAAAUAUUAUGUUGGUUACGAUGAAAUUUCUGAUUACACCUCGCAUUUGUUUCUCUUUGACAAAUUGGAUCCAGCAAAUAACUUUCUUAUUUUAUAUAAAAAGGUAGAAGAUAUUUUGUCAUUGUCACUUUAUUCAAACUAGAGAAGAUAUUUUCUCAUUCCUCUAUUAUAUUAAUCAUAACAAUUUAUGAGCAUUGAUGUGAGUUAAUAUGAUUUAAAAGGUAAAUUGUUGUUAUUUCCUAUCAUGGUUCAAACUUUAUAAUAUCCAUUUUAAUUUUUUUAUCAUUAAUAUUUCUCUCAUCUCUAGAAACGAUGAGCGGAUUUGUACCUACGCCAAAUAUAAAACAUUGUAUUGAACUUGGACUUGAUUUAAUGCUCGUUUUGUGACUUUGCCAUUGAAUUCGGUUUAUAAUUUUAUUUUUAUAAAUAUUCUAUGGCUAAGAAAAAUAUGGUCGAAAAUUAGGUAUUGGUUGGGGGAUUAAAGAUUUGCACCUUGUGGUUUUGGUCAAAUGCGUUUGGAGCUGCAAUGUUGUUAUUUGCUCUCAUUUUAGUAAGUUUUAAAGAUUUUUGGUUUUUUGAUAGUUUGUUGAUUGAAUCAAAUUUUAUUGAGUUAAAUGAGACUUAACUUAUAAUCAAACCCAAUAAGAAGCAUAUCCAACUAUCCAAGGCUAUGUGAUCAAAUUAAAACUUUCUAAUUAUAGUAUCGAAUAGUCUGUAUUUUGACCGAGUCCGUUUCAAUAAAAAACAUAUCAAAUAGACCGAUAUAGACCUUAUUUAAAGAAUAAAAUAUCUUUAUGAUGUUUAUCGGACUUGGUCUUUGCUAAUUUUAUCUCUAGUAAAAUCUUUCGGGUGUUAGAAAGAAAAAAUCAAAUAUCUAAAAUAUUUUUAAUAGAAUAAAGAAGUUAUAGAUAAAAUUUAAGUUCUUCUAAUAUUAUUAGUUAUUAACAAAUGGAAUAGAAAUAGGAAAUGUGUUCAUGAGAAUCUUUUAUCCAUUAUAGUGGUAACUUCACUUUUGUAAAAUAUAUAAUACUCUUUUUUUUGGUAACAUAUAUAAUACUCUUUUUUGUAAAAUAUAUAAUACACUUUUGUAAAGGUUACUAAAUAUUUGUAUUCUAUUGGUUAAGUAGUUGGUUAUAUAUUUGUCAUUUAUGGUAUUUCUUGUGAGGUGAUAAGGAAAAGUUAUUUUGUUUGGGAUGUUGAUAUAAAGUUCAAAGAAGCAAACUGAAACUAAGUAUAAUAUGUAUACUCACAAGUCACACCAUGACAAAUAUAUGGCAUAGUCAUUUACAUAUCUCUCAUAAUGUUAAUUUUUUAUAUCCAUCUUGUAUUUUAUUCUUUCUUACUUAUUAUUUAAAUUGAUGUUAGUUAACCGAUCACAUAUUUAACCAGAAUUAAUAUAAUUUCAAUUUAAAGAUUUGAACAUGCAUAUAUAAUAGUAUUUUAACACAAUUUAUCAUAUCAAGUGUUAUUAUAUACUAAAUCAAAAUAAAAAAGAAGAAACCGAAAUGGAAAAGAUUUAAUGAAUCAUAGAUAUGUUUGUGAAAUUAUAUUUCAUUAUUAAAAAUAAAAAUUAUGGAUUAAUACAUAAUUUAAUAAAUUAUUUUAUUAAAACUUACAUAUUUAAGAUGAUGAAUAAUAAGAGACAUUUAUUAUAAUUCUAUAUCAACCUAGAAAACGAAGAAGUUAUAUUCAUUUCUCAAACAAUUUAAUGCUUAAAACUUAGAAGUGUUAUAUAUUUGGAUUAAUGAAAUGUUUUAUAAAGUAAUAUAAAUAUAUAACCGGCAUAAAAAUUUGACUUAUAAAAUCAAUUCGAGAUUUGGGCUACCAUCGUUUAUACAUAAAUCAGAUUCAAAACGUGAUGGGAGUAUGUUGGAUUAUUUUAAAGUUGAUGGAUUGAAAGGUGUAAACCCCAAACAUCAAGGGGAAAACUAAAAAUUACUACCAUAACUGUAAGCGAAGGUGACAUCAGCACCGACACAUGGACCUUACAAACGUGGUUAUCAUACAUUUAAUAGCGUUUUUUUAGGUUGUUUUGUAUUAAAUUAUGUUAUCGUUAGUUGAAAGUGUAACAUCUUUAGUUUGAAAGUGUUAAAUUAUUAUGAGAUAUCUAAAAUUAUCUUUAACAAAAGGGUAAAAUACUUAUCGGCACACGUAACCAAUAAUUUAUUAUAAAAAACAAUUAAACCAAUACAUAAACAUUUUGAAUACUAUUAAUAGAAACAAACAAAACCCAUUAUUUAUAAGGUAACAUUACAAAGGAUUCCGGAGGAGUUGGAUGAUAUCAAAUUUCACAUUCAAAUAACCACACCAACGACUCUAUCUUCUCUAUAAAGUUCUCUUAUACGUACUAGUCUUAUUCCUUAAUGUCUAGUUCAUCUAGGAUGUUUAUCAUUAAAUAUCCGAUGAUUAUUUUAUACAAUCGAUACAAUCUAAUCAUUCAUUUAGAUAUUGAAUAUUAUCAACCGAUUCAAUCCAAUUCGCUAUCACCAACCGAAUCGAAACAAUCCAAUUGAAAAUAAGAUUGGGUCAGUUUUAUCCAUUGGAUAUUAAAUGUUUGAUAUUUAAUAUAUCCAAUUGUAUCUAUCCCAUUUCAUCUAAUUUUCAUAAGUUAUCAUCCAAUUUGAUCCAUCUGAAUGCAGAAUUGCAACAUGCCAACAGCCUCACAUCAAUUUGGUCCACUUGAAAUGGUAACCGGCCAAAAUAGCAAUUGUUGCUUUAACCUUAAGUUUUAACCAUUUCUUUUCAUAAGAAAAAACUCGUGAACUAGGAUUUUGGUUAUAGUUGCGUUGUAGUUUUGUAAUCAACGAGUGGGGUCAACUUGGGGGAUUCUCAAAGAUUGGCGCUAUGUUUGUCAUGUUACUUGAAGCUAUACCGAACAACUAAAAAAGUAGCAAGUAUUUGAUAAGUUAAUAGAUAAAAAUAGUGCUUAACUAUCGAGUGAGCCCGUGGUGAACUACCGGUUAUCCCUGUGUUUGUUCUUGCACGCUUAUUGAAUGGUAUUACUGAAAUGUGUCUGAUUUAUUCACAAAGGAUGACGAUGAGAAAAAACAAUGACAAAAUGAAGCCCAAAACGGAAGCACAAAUCGGUAGACGGAAAAAGGACAAAAGAAAUGUCAAAAUGGUCAAAGGGACUGAAAGUGAGAAAUAUUAAAACACGGGUGACCAAUCUGUAUUGAAAAAUAAGUAGUACGACAAAAAAAAAAGGACAAAAUGAAGCAAAAAAUGAUAAAGUGACUUAAAUUGACAAAUAUUAAAAGAUAUGUGGUCAAUCUCAAAUUACAACAGCCAAGGACCCGAAUUGUCAAACUAUACAAAAUGUUUUAUUUCUAAUGAUCAUGGCUAUUAAUAUAUGUCGGUGUUUUUAUUUUAUUUUAUUUUAUUUUAUUUUAUUUUAUUUAUUUAUUUUUUUUUGAGAAUAUCAAAGGUAGGGACCAAAAAUGCCAACUCCACAAAGAAAUAUGGCAAAAACUUGAGGGGUCACAUUCGAUAAAUGCAAGGGACCAAGUGACAAACUCUCGAAACCUUUGCGGCUAAUUUUUAAUAUAUAUAAAAUUAUAGGGGACAAGUGGCAAACAUAAAAUACAAGGGACCAAAAGUGGUAAAUUUUCUAAACUUUUGUGGCUAACAAAUAUAUUUAAAUUGCAAGUGACCAAAAGUGGCAAACAUAAAACACAAGGGACCAAAAAAUAUAUAUAAAAUACAAGAGACCAAAAGUGACAAGUAUAAAAUACAAGUGACCAAAAGUGGGCAAAUUCUAAAAAUUUUUGUGGCUAAACUAUGAAUCAUUAAGAACUUACAAAACUUAAGAGAUUACAUUUGGUAAAUGUAAGGGACCAAGUGAAAUAUAUAUAUAUAUAUAUAUAUAAUAUAAGAAUCGAUUUACAGAAAACAUACUUGUAUGAUGAUUACACUGGAAUUUUACUACGAAAUUGUACAGAUUGAGGCCUGCUUUGCAGUGUCCUAAGACAGAAAUUUCCCUGGUAGGGAUCUGUCAAGAGGAUACAACAAUCAACCAAGAACUUCUCUUGAUUCUGACGAAAUUCUCUAUGUUCCCUUCAUUGUAUGUGGAGUACGAAAUUAUAUGAGGAAUUUGUGUGUGGUUUUUCUGAACACGAAAUCUGGUCUUUGGUAUUAGAAGGAGGUUCCUUUGGGGCGGCGAUUAUGUAAAGAAGAAAGUCAAUUGGGUUGCUUGGGAGUUGGUCACUAAACCUAAAAAGGAGGGUGGUCUGAGUGUUGGUUCUCUCGACUCGGCUAAUUUGGCUAUUCUUGCCAAAUGAUGGUGAAGAUUAAAAAACAAAGGUAAUUCCUUUUGGUCUACAUGUAUUAAAUUUAUCCAUAAAUUAAAACUUAUUGAUGACAAACCAAUCGUCAAGAACUCCAUUAAAGGUGUGUGGCUAAGUAUUUCUCAAAUUGACGUUGACUUGCAAGAUAAGGGGAUUUUCCUCUCAGAUUUGUUUAAGAGGGUCGUCGGAAAUGGUUNAUAUAUAAUAUGCAAGGGAUCAAAAGUGGCAAGCAUAAAAUACAAGGGACCAAAAGUGGCAAUUUCUUAAAACUUUUGUGGCUAAAUUGUGAAUCAUCAAAAAGUCACAAGAACUUGAGGGGUCACAUUUAGUAAAUACAAGGGGACAAACUCUCGAAACAUUUACGGCUAAUCUUACUAUAUUAUUAUACAAACCUUACUAUUUCAUAAAAUAAAUUUAAGACGUCCAAACCAUUAAGCUUAUAGUACAAAUAACGAAGUCAAUAUUAUCUCAUUCUUUAAUUCCUGUCUCAUUCAAAAAGUUACAAAAAUGGAAAUUGUCCACUUUCCCCACGUGAUAUUAUAAGUAAUCUUUCAUUGUCCUUCGAAUCUUCCCCUGACCUGGUAUUCUUCAAAAUUGACCUGGUAUUCUUCAAAAUUGAACUACUUCCCAUUUAAUUCGCCAAACUUCAAGUUCAAAAGGCUCACUCGCAUUCGUCGUCCCACCCUACUAUAAAGCACGCCGUCAAUCAACAACACAAUGCUCCUUUCCCAUAUAUCUCCCCUACACUUAUCUGAUCUCCUUCUCCACCCAGUUUCUGCACUCACACCACUUCUCUGGAGUCUCUCUAUUUGUCUCUACCCUUAUCCUACAACCACUCUCUGCCUAAUCGUUACCAGCCAUCCAAUUUCCGCCCUCCGGAAUUAAUGACCUAGCCUCAUCUCUCCACUUUCAACCACUACUACAAUUACCAGACAUCGAUAGUUAUCUGUUUCUUGGGGAUUUGGGUCUAAAUCUUUGUUGGCGAUAUGUUUCUUGGGUUUUCCCCUCAAGAAUGUUCAAAGAAAUAGACCAGGUUUGUGUUGUUCUUUUCAUUUACGUUUCUUAUAUUUACUAUCUACAAAAUCGAAAUUACAUCUUUGAUUUUCUUUGUAUUCCUUUUGGUUUUGUUUUGAUUCUUGAAUACCGAUUCAUUUCUUUUCAUUUUGCCGGAAUAAUUUUGGUUUAUUGUAUACUUUUCCUUCCUCCCCUUUUCACCAUUUCUAGAUUUAAACUCUCCUAUGUCACCUCUACCCUGUUUCUUCUCUACCCAACAGCCGACGACCACAACAAUCAAGCCACCAUGUCUUCCAUACUACACGUAGCUCCAGCCAGUUGCCUCCACUAGGAUUUAAAGAGAAUUUCUGGAGGAUCACCAUUAAAUAUGUAACAUUGUAAGUUCUUCACAUUAAUCCAUGUUUUUUUUGUUUAAUUUUAUUUUGGUAUCAAAAUAGAUCCAAAACAUGUGAAACCUAAUGAUUUCAGCAUCCUCUUCUCUGGUUAUAUAUCACAGCUCCACAAUUUGGGUUUUUUGCUCUUAACUUUGUUUUCAUUCUCUUAUGCAGGUCAUAUGAAUUAAAAAGAUGGGGUUGAAUCAUUUUUGUUUUCGAAAUUGCUUACAUGCUUACCUGCAUCUUUGAUUUAAAGUAAAUGUGCAUAUGGUCGAUAAAGAUGUGUUUUCUUUGACUUUUUAAUUUAUAUUUCCUGGAAAUAAGAUUUUUUUUGAAGUAAGGCCCUAUCAAAGCUAAGGAGCCCGCCUUGAAUCUGCAGAUGGUGAUAAUCACGUUGCUUGAUGUCUAGAGGCUAAUAUCAGAGCUUCUAAAUAAAAAUGGUAUUUGUCUUUGAUAAAUGUUACACAACUCUAUACAUCUUUGUUAUUUUUAUUUUAAGGUUGUAAUCUUUUUGUGUAUAUUUUUUUGGCUAAUUCACUGAAACCCCACAAAAAGACAUGGACGAAAUUUACGGUGAGUUAAGUUGGGAGGCUUGUGACUUUAUUAUUAUACAAGCCUUACUAUUUCCUAAAAUAAAUUUAAGACGUCCAAACCAUUAAGUUUAUAGUACACAUAACGAAGCCAAUAUUAUCUCAUUCUUUAAUUCAUGCCACAUUCAAAAAUUCAAAAAGUUACAAAAAUGGAAAUUGUCCACUUUCCCCACGUGAUAUUAUCAGUAAUCUUUCAUUGUCCUUCGAAUCUUCGAAUCUUUGAUUUUCUUUGUAUUCCUUUUGGUUUUGGUUUGAUUCUUGAAUACGGAUUCAUUUCUUUUCAUAUUGCCGGAAUAAUUUUGGUUUAUUGUACACUUCUCCUUCCUCCCCUUUUCACCAUUUCUAGAUUUAAACGUUCCUAUCUCACCUCUACCCUGUUUCUUCUCUACCCAACAGCUGACGACCACAACAAUCAAGCUACCAUGUCUUCCAUACUACACGUAGCUCCAGCCAGUUGCCUCCACUAGGAUUUAAAGAGAAUUUCUGGAGGAUCAUCAUUAAAUAUGUAACAUUGUAAGUUCUUCACAUUAAUCCAUGUUUUUUGCUUAAUUUUAGGGAAAAAUGCAGAAAAUCCCAACCCUUUAUCAUAUUACAUUCAAAAAAACCAUUUAUAUUAUAUUUACCUUCACAAAAGCCCUUACAUUAUAAAAUACCUUUCAGAAAAACUCAAAUAACCCGUUACAUUACCUGAUGACCGGAUGACCUGGCAUAAAAAAAGACCCACGUGAAUAAACUUAACUUCACAGUCGACUAAAACCAAAACAAAACAUAAGGAAUUAGGGUUUGUCCCAUCUCGCUACUUCAUCUCUCUACUUCAAUUUCAACAGAAAAAUAAUUUAGGAUCGUAUGAAAUUGAAGAAGGAAGGGGGAUCGAUCCCACCCACUAGUUUGUUUCUCGGUAAAAAAGGGUGUAUUUAAUUGCAAUCGCGAAGGACAACAAGGAAGCAGUAGCUGCACUUCACACACAAAUCAAUGGCUUCUUCUUCUUCAUCUUCAAAAUAUAGAUGCAGGUCGGUAAAACAACUCAAAGAAAAAGAAGAUUUAGAUCGUUGUGGUUGUGGUUACGAAUCCAGAAUGUGGAUUUGAACUACGACUAAGAACCCUAAAAGACGAUUUUACAAGUGCCCUUAUUGGGUAAGUUCAUAAAUAGAUGAAAUAAAAAUGUUUUAGCUUCUUUUUUACUUACUUUCUAACUCACUGCCCAGGGUUCAAGUGAAGAUUGCAAGCAUUUUAAUUGGAUUGACCCGGAGUUGACUGGGUACUAUAAAGAAGAAAUGAAUAAGCUUAUUGUUGAAUCAAAGUUGAAUGGGUACUAUAAAGAAGAAAGGAAUAAGCUUAUUGUCGAAUUAAAGAGAAUGAAGGCAAAUCUUGAGGUGUUAGAGAAGGGAAAGAAGCAAAAUAUUGAAGUGUUGGAGAAGAAGAACAAUAGUAUCAAAGUAAUUGUUAGCUUAUUAGCAUUUUUGUUUGUUGUACUCGUUAUCAAUUGGUUUGCAAUUAGUGUUUUCAGGGAUUAAGUGUUGUAAGGGUAUGUAGUGCUGUAUCAAGAAGUUAUCAUGGUUUUAGUAGUCUUUAUAGCAAUGUAUUUCACUAUGAAUUGUUGUAUCUAAUGCUUGUUGAAAUAUUAAAUUUAGGAAGUUGGUUUCUUACUGUUUGUUGAUGUUAGAUAUCAUACUGUUAGUAGUCUUUAUAGCUUUUGUUGUGUUGUAAGGGUAUGUAGUUUUUGUUGUACUCAUACAAAGUUUGUUGUGAAAAUAGUUAUGUUCUUAACAAAAGUUCUAUAAGGGCAAUUUAGUAUACAGGCUUGUUGAUCACAAUUAUAGUCCCUCUUUUGUGCAAAUUCAAAAUGAAAUAGGCUUGUCUAUCAUAAUUAAGGUCCCUGUAUACAGAUCAAAUAUGAAGAAAAAAUGGUCCAUGAACAUAAGUGAUGCUUUUGUUGAUCUGUUCAAUACUCAAGACAAACAAACAUAACAUAUAUUAUCUGUCUGCUGUAUUUCAAACAUAUGGUCCCUGUUGGCAGUUUUUUAAUACAAAAGUGGUCCUUCUCGGCAUUUUUUUUAACAAAAAUGGUCUUCGUCGACAUUUUUUUUAACAAAUGGUCCUGAUAAUAAUUUUCUUCUACAAACAUAUAUAAGCACAAACAAAUUGCACUAAGAUAACAAAAUGACCCUUACAAAGUGCAGAAACACUGCAUUGAGUUUUCAAAAAGGCUACUACUAAGUGCAUAAAUUGCAUAAAUACUUGAUAGUGUUUUUAAAUGCAGAAAGUUUUUUAAACAUUGCCCACUAUACAAAAAGGGCUAUUAAUUCCACCUACUCAAUCUUUCUUGUUUUCAGAGUUCCAGUACUCAUAUGGUACGGUGUUCCAAAAAUCUUCAGAAUCUUCCUCAUCUCUCACUGGAACCUCUUGAAGAUCACUAUCUGCAUCAUAUUGCGUCUCAAGGACACAAGUUUGUGUUUGACUGUUAGGCACUCCUUCAUCAUCAUAAACAACCUGCUCGUUUUCAUUUUCUACAUAGAAAACUAAAGAUUAGAAAAACUCCAUAAAUAACAUGUUUUAUUUUAAAGUAUAGAUAACAUACCCAUAUAACGAUCCACAAAAUCAUCAUCGUCAUUUAUUAUAACUCUCACACCUCCUCCUCUAUUUCCAGCCCGUCCUCUAUUUCCUCCUCUACGUCCUCUUCCACCUCCUCUACUUCCUCUUCCACCUUUUGUACGAUCAUCAAAAUCGUCAUUUCUAGGCCUUCCGUUCGGUCUUUUUGGCUUGGGAGGGGGUAGUUGUUUCUCAUUCUUGCAUGUUCUAGCAUUAUGGCCAAUUUGUAAACAGUUAUGACAAGUUUUUGGCCUCCCUGCAUUUGAAACAGUUGGAUACUUGGAUUUGUUUUCAGUCUCAUGUCUCUUCUUUUUAAUAGUAGGUCUGCCUGGCAUCCUCCUUUCUUUUGGUGGCAAAGGCUUUUCGUAAGGUGUUUUUGGCCACAUUUUACUUCCAUUCAUGGGAUCGAUUGUCUUGGUAUAUGCUGUAAUGAAUUUAUCCUUACUAAACCAUGUACUCAAAUAAUCUUCAGGAUCAAUGUGGCAGUAGUUCAAUGCUGCACCAGCAUGUACACAAGGAAUGUCGGAUAAUUGCCAUAGCUUGCAACUACAGGAGUGUGCAUUUAAGUCAACCUUGUACGCAUCGUAUCCAUUUCUUAUUUCAAACACACUUCCUCCAGCAGGGUAGACUAGCCAAUUUCUACAAAAUAAGAAAAAUGUGAUAAUAAUUAUUCAAGAAAACCAACUUUAAAACCAAUCAUAUUUCAAAUAAUUUAUGGCAUUACCUCAUGUUUCUAUGGAAAUAAUUCAUUUUUUACUUAUAUUUGGACAAAUUUCCUUUUCCCAUGUUUGUGCUUUGCUUGACAUAACUUCAAACCGCUCCAUGCAAUAUAAUCUAAUUUCCUCUAACACCGUAAGUAAUGGUUUUCUUCUUGCUUCCACAAUCACAGAGUUGAAAGACUCUGAAAUCCCAUUCUCAACUGCCUCGCAGGCCCUAUCAACUUCAAAAAAAUGCCCUAGACCAUGUAUUAGGAUCCCUUUUUGUUAGAUGAUCAUAAGCUUCUUGGCUAAACUUUCUUAAUUCUUCCAUGUUACUCUUAAAGCCUUCUUCUGUGGUUGACAUGCAACAUCGCCAAAACAUCUUCUUAUACAUCUCACCAUUGAAGUUCUUCCUAAAAUUCGCAUAAAUAUCUCGUGCACAUUGUUUGUGUUCAGCAUAUGGCAUUAGUUCCUUCACACUUUCAACAAGCCCCUGUAUUGCACACAUUAAAAAAAAAAACAUAAUUUUUUUUACUGUUUUGGACAGAUUGAAAAUAAAACUUAUUUUUUUUUCACUAUUUUUGAACAACCUUGAAGUGCCUAUUGACAGAAAUUUUAAUGUUUGUAAAAAAUACCUUCUGUUGGUCCGAAAUCAAAGUAAGACCUCUUCCUUGUUUAAAACCAAUGUCCGCACCUAACAGUUCAACGAACCACUUCCAGUUGUCUUUGUUUUCAACGUCUACAACGACCCAAGCUAUGGGAUAAAUUUGGUUGUUUGCAUCUCGUCCGAUUGCAAAUAAUAGCUCUCCUUUAACUCGUCCCUUCAAAAAACAACCAUCCAAUCCAAUUACCCGACGACAACCGUUGUUCCAACCAUCUUUUAAGGCUUUAAAGCAAAUGUAGAUACGUUGAAAAUAAUUGCCAUCCGGAUUACUUUUUACUCCAAUAUUUACGGUAAUACCAGGAUUUGACCUAAGAAUUUCUUGGCCAUAAUCCCAAACUUUUGCAUAAUGGUCUAACAGUUUCCCCUCGAUUAAAAAUAAUGCCUUAGCUCGUGCCCUUUGACACUGUGGAGUACUUACCUUGCAAGAAAAUACCCUUCGAAUAUCAGCUUUUAGUUCUCUUAUUUUCAUUUUGGAAUUUCUUAUCAUCUCAUCAACAUGGUGUUUAGCAAUCCAGGAGGGAGUAACAAGAGUCCCAAACUCGAAACUUCUACAACAUCUAUGAUUAUCAUUCAAAGAUUUAACUUGGAAAGUUGUUUCAUUUCCAAUCCAAGAAGCAUACAACCUAUACGGGCACUUUUUUUUUGUUAUUUUCUUUCCCACAAACUACUAAUAUCCUAUCAUGAUCACUUUUAGCAAAACGUAACUGAAACCCAUUUGCCACAGCGUAGUUUCUAACACAAAAUUUUAGUUGUUCGGGACUCUCGUACUUUUCUCCUAAUUCAGGUUUCAUCUUUCUCCAAUCAACCAAAGGGUUGUAAAUAUUAUAUUCGACCCCGAUUUCUUCAUUUUCUCCAUCCACAUUCCAGUUGUGUUUUCCAAAUUGUAAAUCAUCAUCAUCAUAUAGCUCUUCUUCAUAUUCAUCUCCUCGAUACAAUUUUACUAUUUCAGCAUCUUCUUUAUUACGAGGGCAUAACAAAUACAAAAAAGGAUCAUAUGCGGUUUUUGUCAUACUUGUGUCAACAUCUUUCUCAAAACGGGCAUCUAUAAACAUAUCAUCUUCCAUGUCAAGACAUAAUGACCCUAUGGAAUUUGUAUCCGUAGAGGACUCAACAUAUUCCUCGUCUUCACUAUCUGUGCUUCCUUCCUCACUCAAGUAAAAUACUGAAGAUGAAGCCAUGUUCACUGAUUGGUGAUUAAUACUCACUAUAAAUACAAAAAAACCACUGAUUAAGAACAAAAAAUUACAAAAUAAUGACACCUAUUUGAAGACCAAAAAAACAUUAUCAUAUUUUCUUCACUCAAAUUAAUACCCACUGCAAAUACCAUUACCACUUAUAUAUUGAAGACCAAAAGAAACCUGCUGCUAAUUUCAAGGCCAAAAAGACAUUAUCAUGUUUUCUUAUGAAAAACGUAACCCUACCACUGAUUUCGAGACAUAUAAAAGAACAUUUAUCACGUUUUUGUGCAUAACGUAUCUAGAAGAUACCAUAUUCCUGCCAUUAAACCAAAAAAAAUAAUAUGGCAUGUGUUUACCUGUUGAGAGAUGUAGCUUAUGGAGCUUUGUCUUGUUCCUGAGAGACAAACCAGAUGAGAGAGACAAACGACAGAAACCCUAGUUCUUUUUGUUUAAUGUUUGGUCAAUGUAUUAAAGGGUAUUAAAAGAAGGAUUUAAAAUUUGUUCACGUGGUUUUUUUUAUGCCCAGUCAUCCGGUCAUCAGGUAAUAUAACCGGUUAUUUGGGUUUUAGUGAAAGGUAUUUUAUAAUGUAAGGGCAUUUGUGAAUGUAAAUAUAAUAUAAGGGUUUUUUUGAAUGUAAUAUGAUAAAGGGUUGGGCUUUUCUAUAUUUUUCCCUUAAUUUUAUUUUGGUAUCAAAAUAGAUCCAAAACAUGUGAAACCUAAUGAUUUCAGCGUCGUCUUCUCUGGUUAUAUAUCACAUCUCCACAAUUUUGGUUUUUUGCUCUUAACUUUGUUUUCAUUCUCUUAUGCAGGUCAUAUGAAUUAAAAAGAUGGGGUUGAAUCAUUUUUGUUUUCGAAAUUGCUUACAUGCUUACCUGCAUCUUUGAUUUAAAGUAAAUGUGCAUAUGGUCGAUAAAGAUGUGUUUUCUUUGACUUUUUUAUUUAUAUUUCCUGGAAAUAAGAUUUUUUUUUGAAGUAAGGCGCUAUCAAAGCUCAAGAGCCCGCCCUGAAUCCGCCCUGAAUCUGUAGAUGGUGAUAAUCACGUUGCUUGAUGUCUAAAGGCUAAUAUCAGAGCUUCUAAAUAAAAAUGGUAUUUUUCUUUGAUAAAUGUUACACAAAUCUAUACAUCUUUGUUAUUUUUAUUUUAAGGUUGCAAUCUUUUUGUGUACAUUUUUUUGGCCAAUUCAAUGAAACCCCACAAAAAGACAUGGACGAAAUUUACGGUGAGUUAAGUUGGGAGGCUCGUGACUUUAUUAUUAUACAAACCUUACUAUUUCCUAAAAUAAAUUUAAGACGUCCAAACCAUUAAGCUUAUAGUACAAAUAACGAAGCCAAUAUUAUCUCAUUCUUUAAUUCAUGCCUCAUUCAAAAAUUCAAAAAGUUACAAAAAUGGAAAUUGUCCACUUUCCCCACGUGAUAUUAUCAGUAAUCUUUCAUUGUCCUUUGAAUCUUCGAAUCUUUGAUUUUCUUUGUAUUCCUUUUGGUUUUGUUUUGAUUCUUGAAUACCGAUUCAUUCCUUUUCAUUUUGCCGGAAUAAUUUUGGUUUAUUGUACACUUUUCCUUCCUCCCCUUUUCACCAUUUCUAGAUUUAAACGCUCCUAUCUCACCUCUACCCUGUUUCUUCUCUACCCAACAGCCGACGACCACAACAAUCAAGCUACCAUGUCUUCCAUACUACACGUAGCUCCAGCCAGUUGCCUCCACUAGGAUUUAAAGAGAAUUUCUGGAGGAUCAUCAUUAAAUAUGUAACAUUGUAAGUUCUUCACAUUAAUCCAUGUUUUUUGCUUAAUUUUAGGGAAAAAUGCAGAAAAUCCNNNNNNNNNNNNNNNNNNNNNNNNNNNNNNNNNNNNNNNNNNNNNNNNNNNNNNNNNNNNNNNNNNNNNNNNNNNNNNNNNNNNNNNNNNNNNNNNNNNNNNNNNNNNNNNNNNNNNNNNNNNNNNNNNNNNNNNNNNNNNNNNNNNNNNNNNNNNNNNNNNNNNNNNNNNNNNNNNNNNNNNNNNNNNNNNNNNNNNNNNNNNNNNNNNNNNNNNNNNNNNNNGCGACAAAUCCAAACUCAUAUGGACUGAACUUUCUUAAUCUUGAUUUCUUGCCUUAUGGUAACACGAGUGCCCACCAUGUCUUCCAAGUAGUUUAGCAACUUAUCCUUACAUAUCAAUGUACUUUCCAUUGAUCAAGGUGCUUUGUUCUUAUGCAUUCAAAUGAGAACUCGUAGAACUCACAUGCAUAAUUAACUUGAUUGGAAUGGCACAGAAACAAAAUAAUGCCAACACGAUAGGUUGUAAACCGCAAGUCGUGUGCCAAUGAUGAUCAAUAAGGUUUAUUCUUGAUUUGUUCUUGAAACUUUUUCAAAAACAUUAAAACUCCCACUGACUCCUUGACAUAUAAGGUUCUCUUAUCAAGAAACAUUUCUUGACAAACAAAUAUUCAAGAGUUAGUGUAGCUUUUAUCAAGACAAAACACUUCACAAAUUGGUCCUAGUUGGUCUUUGUCUUAUCCAAGACAUCACAACUUACCAAUUUCAAAUGUGCAAGAAUAAGAAAACCUUUUCCAAAUUCCACAUUUGAUGAGUGUUAUAAACCUACUUAAGACUUGUCACUCAAUUCACAAUCUUGGAGUAUGACCCUAAGAUUCGCAGUGUAGCUUUUAUCAAGACAAAACACUUCACAAAUUGGUCCUAGUUGGUCUUUGUCUUAUCCAAGACAUCACAACUUACCAAUUUCAAAUGUGCAAGAAUAAGAAAACCUUUUCCAAAUUCCACAUUUGAUGAGUGUUAUAAACCUACUUAAGACUUGUCACUCAAUUCACAAUCUUGGAGUAUGACCCUAAGAUUCGCUAUUGGAACGAAGUAUGAUUGACUUGUUGAUUUAACCAUUUCCACAAUUCUCGAUUCCUCUUCUUAGACAUACAAAUGCACUAAGACUCACUUAGAGAAUCAAUUGAGAUAUGGUUCUUAAUCAUUAAGACUUAUCAUAAAACACAAUAAAAGGUACUCUCCCUUCUUCUUAGAAUAGAGAAACUUUUAUCUUUCUGCCUACUUGAUUCUUCUUUAUUCGUUCUGCUCUUCAUUGAAACUCUUUCAAUCAACUCAGAGUUACACUUAAUCUUAUAAGUAUAAUCGUAUUUACUAAACUUUUAGAAAAUCAUGACGAAUAUCUUAUCUCUCUUUGUGGUGGACUUGAUCAACGCACAACCUAGUGUACUCGAUCUCCUAGUCCUUCACUUGACAUUUUGUCAAAGAACUAGUCUAAUUUCCAAAUAUGAAAGUUUUCAUUCAUCACGCAACCAAGUUGUAUGAUUCCAAGUUUCCAUCCAAUUGAAACUUGGGCGAUGAGAAACUCUCCCUAUUUGGUGAAUUCUUAACAUCUCCACAAAUAACAUAAUCAAGAAUCAAAUCCAUUAUUGCUAAUAACAGAAACCUUCAAACAUCAAUUUUUCAUACUUGCCAUUGCAAGGAUAAAUAAAUAAGAUAAAAUCAAAAUUUAUUUUAUUGAGGAAAAAAUUGUCCAUACAAUGCAAUUCAAUUGAAAAACUAUGUUAUUACAUAUUUUUUAACAAUCUAUUCUAACUCCAAGUAGUGGCUCAAAAAUCUAAUCUUCAAACAAUGCGAUCGAAAUCCACUUUUCUUCACGAUUAGAUUCAGCUCACUUCUUCCCUUAAGCUUCCUCUCUUUUCUUCGAUCCUACAAAACAUCAAAAUGUAAUCUUAUCACAUCAUGUAUUAAGAAUCUAGAAUAGGAACUUAAAAGAGUUAGUUAAUGGAUUUUUUACCUGAAGCAGAGCCAUACGUCUUGACUCUCCCAUCUCUUAGAUCUCUCAGGUUGUUUGGGCAGCUUCGUCUCCAAUGCCCCUUCUCUUGGCAAUAAAAGCAAACGGACUCCUUUGGCACAUCAUAUCGGACAAUCAGACUUACUUCUUUCUGGACUUCCAAUGUUGCCAGUCUCCAUUGCAGUUUGGGAGUUUGACUCACCAGACAAAUUUGCUUAACCAGCACGCCAAAUCUUGCUAAUUCNNNNNNNNNNNNNNNNNNNNNNNNNNNNNNNNNNNNNNNNNNNNNNNNNNNNNNNNNNNNNNNNNNNNNNNNNNNNNNNNNNNNNNNNNNNNNNNNNNNNNNNNNNNNNNNNNNNNNNNNNNNNNNNNNNNNNNNNNNNNNNNNNNNNNNNNNNNNNNNNNNNNNNNNNNNNNNNNNNNNNNNNNNNNNNNNNNNNNNNNNNNNNNNNNNNNNNNNNNNNNNNNNNNNNNNNNNNNNNNNNNNNNNNNNNNNNNNNNNNNNNNNNNNNNNNNNNNNNNNNNNNNNNNNNNNNNNNNNNNNNNNNNNNNNNNNNNNNNNNNNNNNNNNNNNNNNNNNNNNNNNNNNNNNNNNNNNNNNNNNNNNNNNNNNNNNNNNNNNNNNNNNNNNNNNNNNNNNNNNNNNNNNNNNNNNNNNNNNNNNNNNNNNNNNNNNNNNNNNNNNNNNNNNNNNNNNNNNNNNNNNNNNNNNNNNNNNNNNNNNNNNNNNNNNNNNNNNNNNNNNNNNNNNNNNNNNNNNNNNNNNNNNNNNNNNNNNNNNNNNNNNNNNNNNNNNNNNNNNNNNNNNNNNNNNNNNNNNNNNNNNNNNNNNNNNNNNNNNNNNNNNNNNNNNNNNNNNNNNNNNNNNNNNNNNNNNNNNNNNNNNNNNNNNNNNNNNNNNNNNNNNNNNNNNNNNNNNNNNNNNNNNNNNNNNNNNNNNNNNNNNNNNNNNNNNNNNNNNNNNNNNNNNNNNNNNNNNNNNNNNNNNNNNNNNNNNNNNNNNNNNNNNNNNNNNNNNNNNNNNNNNNNNNNNNNNNNNNNNNNNNNNNNNNNNNNNNNNNNNNNNNNNNNNNNNNNNNNNNNNNNNNNNNNNNNNNNNNNNNNNNNNNNNNNNNNNNNNNNNNNNNNNNNNNNNNNNNNNNNNNNNNNNNNNNNNNNNNNNNNNNNNNNNNNNNNNNNNNNNNNNNNNNNNNNNNNNNNNNNNNNNNNNNNNNNNNNNNNNNNNNNNNNNNNNNNNNNNNNNNNNNNNNNNNNNNNNNNNNNNNNNNNNNNNNNNNNNNNNNNNNNNNNNNNNNNNNNNNNNNNNNNNNNNNNNNNNNNNNNNNNNNNNNNNNNNNNNNNNNNNNNNNNNNNNNNNNNNNNNNNNNNNNNNNNNNNNNNNNNNNNNNNNNNNNNNNNNNNNNNNNNNNNNNNNNNNNNNNNNNNNNNNNNNNNNNNNNNNNNNNNNNNNNNNNNNNNNNNNNNNNNNNNNNNNNNNNNNNNNNNNNNNNNNNNNNNNNNNNNNNNNNNNNNNNNNNNNNNNNNNNNNNNNNNNNNNNNNNNNNNNNNNNNNNNNNNNNNNNNNNNNNNNNNNNNNNNNNNNNNNNNNNNNNNNNNNNNNNNNNNNNNNNNNNNNNNNNNNNNNNNNNNNNNNNNNNNNNNNNNNNNNNNNNNNNNNNNUAAAUUAUACUUUUAAUUUAAUUAAAUGUAAACCAAAACUUUAUGGGUUUAUUAAAUCACUUUUAAUUAUACACUUUAAUUAAUUAAUAAAACCAUAAGGGUGUGAUUUGAACUUUUCAAAAUACUAGGGUUUUAGAAUUUAACAUUUCAAAAUUAAACUUUUAAUCAACUUUUAAAUUCCAAAACUUGAGGGCAAGUUUUGAAACAUUUCAAAACAUUAGGGUUUAACUUAUUUAAAUUUCAAAAACAAAAAUUUUAAGUUCAAAUUUAAACUAUAAAACCUAAAGGGAGUAAUUUGAAACUUUUCCAAACUUUAUCAAGAAUAUUCUAGAUCACAAAAUUCAAAUAAGGCAAUUAACAAUUAAUUGGUGGUUAUCUAAUUUGACCUAGUCCAAAUUCUUGCAAGAUAAUUCACCAAAUAAUUCAAAUAAUUAAAAUUACUCAUAUAAGGAAGUAAUUAUUCAAUUAAUAUGAAUAUAUCUUUAAUUUUGGCAAAGAUAAUCACCCAAUAUCAUAAAAAACUGAUUUAUAUUAAUAAAAUACGUUUUGGUAACUAUCCCACAGCCAAAGAAGCACAAAAUCCAGAAAUUAGCUCUUUCUGACCAGCUGACUCGUCGAGUCAGGCAUGGACUCGUCGAGUUGACAUGGACUCGGCGAGUUCAGCCAUGGACUCGGCGAGUCCAGCCCCCAGAAACCCUAAAUUUCGAUUUUAAAGCAAGAAUAAAGCAUAAUUGCAUCAAAUACAUCAAACAAACAGCCUUAGGCUCUGAUACCACUGGUUGGUUUUAAGCAAAACAUCAAUCCUAUGGUGUACAUGCAAACCCUAAUAGCUUUUGGAUCUAGUUUGCCUAAUGAACAUGCAAUUGAAUAUCCAAAGCUAUAAACCCUAGAUCUAUCAUAUAAGAACUGAAAUAAGGGUUUAGUAAUUACCUUUGAUUGUUAUAUNNNNNNNNNNNNNNNNNNNNNNNNNNNNNNNNNNNNNNNNNNNNNNNNNNNNNNNNNNNNNNNNNNNNNNNNNNNNNNNNNNNNNNNNNNNNNNNNNNNNNNNNNNNNNNNNNNNNNNNNNNNNNNNNNNNNNNNNNNNNNNNNNNNNNNNNNNNNNNNNNNNNNNNNNNNNNNNNNNNNNNNNNNNNNNNNNNNNNNNNNNNNNNNNNNNNNNNNNNNNNNNNNNNNNNNNNNNNNNNNNNNNNNNNNNNNNNNNNNNNNNNNNNNNNNNNNNNNNNNNNNNNNNNNNNNNNNNNNNNNNNNNNNNNNNNNNNNNNNNNNNNNNNNNNNNNNNNNNNNNNNNNNNNNNNNNNNNNNNNNNNNNNNNNNNNNNNNNNNNNNNNNNNNNNNNNNNNNNNNNNNNNNNNNNNNNNNNNNNNNNNNNNNNNNNNNNNNNNNNNNNNNNNNNNNNNNNNNNNNNNNNNNNNNNNNNNNNNNNNNNNNNNNNNNNNNNNNNNNNNNNNNNNNNNNNNNNNNNNNNNNNNNNNNNNNNNNNNNNNNNNNNNNNNNNNNNNNNNNNNNNNNNNNNNNNNNNNNNNNNNNNNNNNNNNNNNNNNNNNNNNNNNNNNNNNNNNNNCACCGACACCGACACGAACUUCACCACCGAACACUACCAAAGAACCAAUUCCAUAAAUACCCAAAAUCACCAAAAUACCCUUGGAAGUCAAACUGGUCAACUCUUGGUCAAAGUCCUUAGUCAAAGUCAACAUUCCUGGUUGAUUCUACUCACCGAGUCAACCCGUCGACUCGUCGAAUUCCUAUACUCAGAAACUCCCAUAACACGACUCAACUUGCCAAGGCGCCCCAAGAUUCGUCGAGUCCAAUGAUCUCCGAGUCCCAUCCUGCUCAACUCACAAAGUCGUCCCUCGACUCACCGAUUCGAGGCUUAACCAGAAGAGGUUAGGGUUCCGUGACCAGACUCGCCGAGUCCAAGAACAGACUCGGCGAGUCCAAGGCAAUCUUCAACAGACUCACCGAGUUGUUCUUCCAACUCGCCGUGUCCAUGCACAUGUUCAUACAACUCGUUGAGUACACCCAUGUGACUCACCGAGUCUCUCCGGUUCUUAAUCGAUACAGUGGCUUUUCGAGCCAUGCAGGGGCUCCAAUCCAUAGAUCCACUCUUCUACACUCUAACCCUCACAUAAAGUUGCAAACUUUACGUGAAACCAAGGAGAUAUAAGCCCAAAACACACUAGGGCUAGGGUUUAUGACAAAGGGGCUUCACCAAUAACUCUUAGACAAAAGAUUUAUGACAUUUUGGACCAUCACAAGCCUAGAUCUGAAGUAGCAACCUCAGAUCUAAGCCUCUAACUCGAAAUAGCUCUCAAUCAUACCAAAAGUGCCCCAAAUCUCAAAUGAUAAUAGAUCUAGAUACAAAAGAGCCCAAGUAAUAGAUUAUUACCUCCAAUAUAUGCCUGAACAGAAGUAGAUCCCGGAUCUACACCACUCCUAUGCAGCAAGCCUCUUGAUCUUCAAGCCCCUUUCCAAGGUUUUCUCUUCCAAAGAUCUAUUCUCUCUAUUAAUGGAGGCUCACUCGAUUCUAGGGUUUCUAAAUCUCAAAAGGGUAGCAAAGAGGUUGAGGGUGGGUUAUAAUGUGCUUUAUAUAGGGCACAACCCUUGGGAUUAGGGUUUUCUCUCUUCAGCACCAACUCGUCGAGUCCAAGCCGCUAACUCUGCGAGUUGGCCACUUAACCCGCGACAGAUUCCCGCUCCGACUCGGCGAGUAAGCAUACCUACUCGUCGAGUCCCUUUCCUUAAUUUACACUUUAAGUCCUUCAAUAUCACCUCUGGAAUUUGGGGUGUUACAGUACAGGUGUUGUUCGAUUCAGGUGCCACCCGAUCUUUUGUUUCUCUUGCACUUAGCAAGAGGCUCCCUGAGUCUUCGGGCAUGCUCGAUUUCCCUCUUGAGGUCGAGAUUGCUGACUAUCGCUCGGUGCGAGCAUCAGAGGUUUUUAGAGGUUGCGUUUUGAGGUUGUACGAGGAGCGCUAUCUGGUGGACUUGGUUCACAUUCUGUUGCGUGGAACAAGGUUAUUAUAGGCAUUGAUUGGUUGAACCCCAACGGGGCAGUGAUCGACUGCGCACAACAGUUGGUUCGGGUCAGGACCCCAAGCAGGGGAGAGCUGGUGAUUUAGGGCGAGAGACCACAGCGCGGACCAGCUUUAUGUUCAGCAGCGAGGUCUAGGCGCUACCUCCAGCAGGGUUGCGCAGGGUAUGUUGCCUAUGUUAUGGAUACCCGAGAGGCGGGUAAGGCGACGGUGAGCGACAUACCGGUGGUGUGAGAAUACACGGAUGUAUUCCCAGAGGAGCUGCUUAGGAUACCUUCGGAGAGACAGGUGGAGUUCAGGAUUGACCUAGUACCUGGUGCAGCUCCAAUAGCCAAGGCACCGUAUCGGUUGGCUCCUCCCGAGAUGCAGGAGUUGUCUACGCAGCUGCAGAAGCUGCUAUACAAGGGAUUUAUCAGGCCGAGUAGUUCGCCUUGGGGAGUCCCGAUCCUGUUUGUAAAGAAGAAGGGCGGGUCGCAUCGGAUGUGUAUAGACUACCGGGAACAAAACAAGGUAACGGUGAAGAACCGUUACCCACUCCCGAGGAUUGAUGACAUAUUCGACCAGCUUCAGGGAGCAUCUUGGUUUUCCAAGAUAGACUUGCGGCCAAGCUACCAUCAGAUGAGGCUCAGAGAGGAGGAUAUAUAGAAGACUGCUUUCCGGACUCGCUAUGGCCACUACAAGUUCGUGGUGAUGCCCUUCGGGCUCACCAAUGCUCCUGCUGCGUUCAUGGACCUCAUGAACCACGUAUGCAGACCAAUGUUUGAUCGAUCUGUGAUAGUUUUCAUUGACGAUAUCUUGGUUUACUCCAAGACGCAGGAGCAGCAUGAGGAGCACUUGCAAGAGGUGUUGGAUACCCUGAAGAGGGAGAACUUGUAUGCCAAGUUCUCCAAGUGUGAGUUCUGGCUGCGCGAGGUGCAGUUUCUUGGGCACUGUGACAUCCCCAAAAUCACGGCCAGAAAAGACCGGUUUGUUUAUGCUUUGUUUAAAAAUCAGAGUACUUCAUUUCAUAAAAAUGUUGCGGAAUUUGUUCCCAGAAAAACAUGGUAAAUACGUUAUUAAAACAUUUUCGAUGAAACGUAUUUAUUUCAUUUUAAAACGUUUGGGAUGUCAUCGUUAAUAUAGAAACAUAAGCAUAAACAGAACUUACAAUUAUUUUCACUAGUGAUCUACAUCUCUUUAAAUCUCUCAGUGUGGUGUCACUUCAUAUCAACACCUGUGAUAUAAAUAAACUGAGUGGGUCAGGUUGGGAAACCUGGUGAGUACAUAGGGUUUUCAACCCACAAUAAUAUAAUUAUUAUUUUUAAACAUCAAACAAUCAACCCAAUUACCCAUUCCCGUUAUCCUCACAUUACGUCCCUAAAACAUCUAACACAAGGGACCUAGUCAAAGGACUAUCAUUGGGAUGGAGUAUACCUGGGGAGCACACAGUUCACACAGUUCGAAUAAACACACAGUUCGAAUAAACACACAGUUCGGUUAAACACACAGUUCGAAUAAACACCUACAGGUUGCGAGCCUGCUAGUGUUCCACUGGACUGUCUAGAAUAGUCCGUGGUUGUCAUCUAUACUCCGCUAGAUGACUAGAUCAUCAAGAACAGCUAUAACGAGGCCUCUCAUUAUUUUAUUUUGUCACACAGCA
rnacentral:lncRNA from 1 species